UGUUCACGACCAGGAGCAUUUGAGUUGAGCUGAGAAAGGUACUUUGGCUACAGAACCACUUUUACAACGACAAAGAGAAAAAGGGCGUGCCAAGACGCAACCCUCCUUCUAGUACAGUCUUUUCUUUAUGGCGAGUCCAAUCUCCAAUCUUCUGUUGAUGUUGGAUGAGGCUUCAGUGUUCACCGUUACACCACAACCCAAAGCAAGAGACAUGGUAAGAUCACGUAAUAGGCAACGGCGGCGACGGGAGUCGGUGGCACGAGCACUGAAGAAGCAGACUCGUUGUAGUAGGGAAGGUAGCUGAUCGGAGGCGCCUGGUAGUACGGCUGCUGAGGCGUGUUUUGGCCGCCGCAGCAAACGGGUGUCGCCGGCGGGCACGGUCCCUGCAUGCCCGGUGAGGGCGGUGUCGUUGAUGGCGGCGAUGGAGGAGGGCCACCGUAGAUCGGCAGCGGCUGCGGUGGUGGCUGGCAUCCGGCGCCGUUGCACAGGCCUUGAGCCGUGGUGGCGUUGCCGCCUGCAGCGUCGCCGGCCUCAGAUGCUGCUGCUGCCGCAGCUGCACUGGCAAGCAGCAAGGCAUGCAGCAAGAGAAGCGUCAUAGUAUUGGAUGUUGCCGUAGUUGUUGUUGGAUAUUCUUGGCGUUCGUGUGUUGCGGUGGAGGGUUAUAUAAUCGGUCUGGGUGUAGAGGUAGGGCUGCAUGCACCGUGACACAUGGAGAGCCAUGUGUUGGAGGCUGAGAUGCCCUACGCUAGCUUAUGGAGACGGAGACACUGGCCGCUCUGUCACUUCUCAUGGUCAGCUUCGAGAUAACUGGAUAUACACGAGUGCGUACGUAGCAGCAGUUUCCAGCAAGAUUCAAGGGGAAAAAACAAAAGUAGUUUCCAGUUCUAUUAUAUCGAUUCAACGUGUGUGCAUACUGGGGCUACACCACGACUAUCUUCACCUACGUCAGCCACUUUGUCAUAGUGCAAACGCAGUUUCGGUGCCUACCAUACUUUUCCAACGAAAAACAUGACAUUCUCCCCACAAGAAACACGAGUUUAGCACAUCCAACACAAAAAACGCGAUGUGUUGGAUGUGCUAAAGUCGUGUUUUUGUGCUAAACACAAAAAACAGCUUUAGAAAUAACUGCUCACAACCAACACUGUCCUAAGAUCUUCGGUUCAGUACUUCAGUUACAACACAAGAGCAUAUGAGCAGUUAUUUGUAAAAGUUGAUUUUCUAAUACUCCCGAAAAUCACAUGAUUGAUCAUCCUGAGCUUUCCAGAUAAUUGAAGAAUAAAUCACAUUACCUGCAAACAAAAGAAUAAACCAGAUGAUGUUUAUUUAUUGCCAAAAAUCAGCAACGCGCAAUCUGACAACAAGUACAUAAGCCGGACCAGACCGAUAAAAAAACGACUGCCCCAGGGAACCAACAGGAGGGGGAAAAGCGAAGCACAACCUGCAGCUUUCCUGAGUACCCCAAAUAUUGCGGGCAGAGAGUUAACUGAUGCCUCAAGAAUUCUCAGUGUUUAGCCUCCUACUUGGUGAAACACGAAAUCUUGCAUCAUACUAUGAUCUGGUGAAAUCGUACGGUCAAGCAAUAAGUUUAACAGCUUCCGUUCCAGAGACAAGUGUAUCUUCUACAAAUGGUAUGGUCUUCCAUACUUUUAAUCCUACUGGCGCUGGACUAUUUUCAGGACCUGAAACAUAUGAACAUAUAUACAUCAAUAGUAUAUAAUGGAGUGACCGAAAGAAUGAAGAUAACCAAACUCUUUGUCCCAAGGCUGGCAAUACAAACCUUGACAUCUCGUGUCAUCCUCCAUACAAACUGACAUGUAAUGAGAACUAUUUAGCUUCGCGAGUGCAAAUAGCCAAUUCUCAGACAGACGAUCACACCCAGAGUUGGAAUCAUUACAUACUUUCGAUGCCUGGAAAAUCCGACGAGAGUCAAGGCAGACCGAUAAAGAUGAUUUACUGUUAGGUUGCAAUAACAUAAUGCACCUGACUUCGCUGAUGUCCUAUGAAGAGUAAAAAACAGACACUUAUCCCUAACGAAAAAAAUUAGGACAGUUACCAUGCAAAAGCCAAAAAACAGGGAAGGCAUCUACUUUUGAUUCCGUGUGCACGCAAUGGUUUGAGGGCAUGUACAAUGGUGGCAUAUGGAUACAGAUGCCCCAUGACAAAAAGUAGAUUGAGGCAUCUACAUUGAUUUUUUCUCCCCAAUGCAAGCUACCACUAGUGGGCCUCAUCAAAGAAUAGAAAAUAAAUACUUCCACUACACAUGCAUCUCUACUCUCCACUUCAACCUUUUUAGCUUUAUGCACCGGACCAUACUUUUCUCCCCAAGCACCCGCCUCCUACAGAGGAUCCCGCUGCUCCAUCCGAACCUAUUUUCCUGACAUCCGAUCCUGCGUGGCCUACGGGGCAUCACCCUGGGCUAUGCAUUGGCCAUGCCUGGCGUGAUUGCACAGCACAUGGUGGACCACACACAUGCUGUUUUCUACUUAUUUUGCUUUCUUAUUUGGAGGUUUGCCCCAUUGUUUUUCUAUUUGAUGAAAUACUGAUUUCUGCUAUAAAAUAUGUGACACAUGUGGAAUUUGAGAAUUUCUUGUGAUUCUUGCAUGAAACCCUGAAAUACAUGCGAAACACAUGCCAAAAAAGAUAAAUAAAAGGUCAAACAACUAUGAGUCUCCUCAAAUUUAUUGGCUUGGUUCAGAUCCAUGUAAAAUGCAUUGAAUUGUUUAGUGAAACUUGGUUUGGAUUACGGCAAAACCUGAUUAACCUGCUGCAAAACAUGUCUUAAAAUUUGCAAAACAUACGCUAUACAAUAUUUUGGAACAUGCUGGAGCCCGUGCAGUGAGAAAAAAAAAGGCUGAAAUGAUAUGUGAGAGUGAGUGGUAGGGAAUAUUACAUCUCAACCAUUGACAGAGAUGACCAAAAUAGAAGGUGAGAUGCUAGACCGGUUGUUUUAAGAACCAGCAGUACACCAUCCCAUAGCAGCAUUUUUUCGUAUAAAAUUCACUUAACAUGACAUCUGACCGUUGGGCCAAGACGUAGGUGUCACAUGUCAGAAGGUGUUACAAAUGUCACGUGAAAUUUUGUUCACACACAUAGUUCUAAAGCUCCCUGAUUAUAUGUCAAAAAAAGAAAGAAGGGGAAAGGUAAAAGCUACAUACCUUAGAAACCCGAAUUCCCUUGCUUGUUUUCAAGUUGAUUGUAAACUCAUUGAGUGGAGCACCUGACAAACCCAAUCCGAGAGCCUUUACAUAUGCUUCCUAUAAAUUUAGAAAUCAAUGAUCCUUCAAUGUGCAACAUCGUAUCAGUAGCCAUUAAUUCAAAUAGGCAAUAUUUGGUGCAUAACAUUCCUUUUUCCGCAAAUGGACCAUUCAUAAGAUGCCCACCUACGUGUACUUCAAUUUGAUUUAUUCAAUAUAGUUAUAUGUGGAGUUAGCAAGUUAACAUCUAAAAAGAGCUUGCACUAGAUACAUAUACCAAACCUGCAUUUCUAUAGCAAAGAACAACGAAGUCAGCUACAAUGUUUUAAUCUUUGAAGUGGUAUCUUACACUACAUGAUAGGGCAGUUGAUAUGUUCUAGCCUUGUAGUAAAAAAUAACAUAACUUCGCAAUGUUCUAAGGAAUGUAUAGCACAAUGAAGUGGUUGCAUAGGAAAGGGCUAUAAAGUAGAGGGCCAAAGAGAGACUCAUUAACUUUAAGAGUCCAUAGUUUGAAGAAUUCCUUUUCCUGAGCAUACGAAUCAGAAAUCUCAGUGAGAUAAUGAGCUUCUGAAGGGGUGAAAAAACAACGAGCAAGAGAUAAAAUACUCUUGGUUGUCUUCCGCUUCUUCUCUUCAAUAUCAAUGCCAAUCUAAAAAGGUACAUAAAACAGCAAUAUCAACUGAAUAACUUCCACAGCAACAGAAACAUGGUCAUGUCUUUCUCACUUUUGGCUGUCACAGGGACAAAGAACAUACAUUAGCAUCCAUGGCAAUGCCACAGGCAAUCAAAGAAGUAGUGUGUGAAAUGUUGAAAUGCAAGGGCAGCUCCACAAUAUCAUCGGAUGGCCACAAUAUCUGAUCAGACAUGGAAAGCAGCCAAAGGCAGUUGUUACAAGGCUUUAAAUUGCAGAAAAAAAGAACCACUGAAGACUAACCUCUUACCUCAGGUUUGUGAAAAUUGUUGUACAUAAACUCAAACGACCUCGGAUCAAUUUUACAAUCUGUAUCCAGUCUAAUUUAAACAGAUUAGCAAUAAGCAAUGACAUAUCAGUAUUCCUGUUAUGCUAUCAGUAACAACAGACAAAACAAGCAUAUAUUCUAAUUGUUGACAAGAUAAUAGAGCAGCGUGACAAGCUUCCAUAUUAUUACAAGUCAAAGGGCAGAUGGUUUCAUUCUCCAUUUUUAUGACUCUUUAUGGGAACAGCACAUGCAUCAGAAAGUGAUUGGGCACCUAAUAGGUCCUAAAGUGUUACUUGAGAAAGACAAAGUCAUUUGUGGAUGCAAGAGGUCAAAAGUUACAUUGAUCUUGAACCAUAUGUUCUCCAUAUAUUAAGACAGAUGAAUGCUUGAAUGGUCUCCUACAAUGCAAAGGCAGAGCUCCUGCUGUUCACGUACAAAAAUGCACGAAUGGAAGCCAUGCACCUAUAUACAGGAAAAAGUUCAAAGGGAAUAAAUCAUGGACUCAGUGCAUCCAAAGCAAUAAAUUGCAUAAAAUAGCUGAAUCCCCGGAAAUAUUAUACUAUUUUUGUUACAACAAUACCGAGUUUUCCCCAUAAUUACAGUAUAUAGACUAAGAAAAGUGUUUUUUUAUAGAGUCACCACCCCCAAGGAGAGGAUCCUAUGUGUUGUUAAUUCUAAGCAAUAUACACUUGUGAAUCAAACAUCAGCAGACAAUUUUCCUAAUUCCUAUUAACAAGAAUAUAGACAACACUGUCUCUUGAAUGAUAGAAACAGGAAUGAAACUUCAAUUAAAUGUGACAGACAAUGCAAAAGGAAGUUGGUGGUUACAUACAUCUUGAGAGGGUGGUGCGCUUCAAUGCACAGGACAACAUAGCAUGCUUCCGCAACGUUGUUUCCUUUAUAGAGUCAGCAUACUCCUUUUCAGCAGGAGAAAGGAGUUGUUUAUACAUCUCUAGUUGGGACUGAUCAUUCAGCUCACCCGGGCAAAGAUACCAAACAUGCACCUCUCUACAAAAGAGAUAAACACAUAAACUUAUGUCCUCGAAAUAUUCUAAUGCACCAAACAACUAUUACAAGAAAGAAAAAUCAACCAUUUGUAAAUGUACAGGAGUAUAGUCUCAUUACGAUACAGGCUUUGCCCAACCCCAGAGAACACUUAACCACCAAAAUCUAUCAUGUAUCCACAUGUCAAUAUGGGGAGACGCACAUAUCAGGGAGUAUAGUGGAACUAACAUUUUCAAAUAUAAAUAAAGGAAUGCACUAGAGCGCGACGGCCGAAAACGCUGCCAAAUCAUGGAUGAUGUCAUGACGACGGAAGAAUCAAUUGCAGCCACGUGUAAUCGACGGAGCAGGCUGUGUCACACUUUGGGACAGUGCAGUGAACGUUUGUGCCAUAUGAUUAAUUCCAGUAAAAUAAAACACAAUAGUCCCUGAUAAUUCUUGGGCCAGAAGUCCUUCAGUGAAUGCCCAGCACCAGCCCAAAUGAAAUCCACAAAACUACAGCCCUAGCAAACAAUCGCUGUACCUCAAAACAAAAAGCAAACAAUCGUCUCAUUCUGCAACAGUUGUUUAAAUUUUUAUUUGUUCAAUGUUCAUGUACUAUCCUACAAUCAUGCCCAUAAGAAAUUAAGGACUGUACAUAUUUGACAUUUAAUGAACAAGACAGGCUAUGGAUUAGCAGCUAAGAAGCUAGCAACAUCUUAGCUUCCUCUAACAUUGACUAGUAUAAUGCACUCCCUAUAUUCAAAUACACGUAAUUGAAAAUGCCAUAUCACCAAACACUGAUACACAUAUGUUGGGCAUCAAUAUAUCAUGUAUCUAGCUUCUAGCAACAUAGCCGUACUCAGGCUCCGCAAAACUAUAACCUGCAACAUACAGAUAAACGAAGGCAGAGAAGGGGGUGCACCUUCUGGACUGCAGAGGCGGCGCGGGCGGGAGGGGCGCAAAGAGGCGCCUGCCGGGAAUCCCAACGUCCUCGGAGGAGGCGGGGGCGGUGGUAGAGGCAUCGCGCGGCAGCGGGGGAGGUGGCGGUGCAUGCUGCUUGGCAUGUGCCGCCCAGUUUGGCUUGUAGCGGGGGCGUCGGCGGGUUGAUGGCUCGACGGCAGUGUAGAUUAUGGACAGGGGGUGUCGGAGAGAAGCGGCUCGGCGGUGGCACAGCUCCAGAGGCAGACCGCAAGGAGCAAGGCGGCGGCAGUGUCUCCAUUGAAGGCCCUCGGUCAGAUUUUAUUUUCUCUUAAUGGCCCUCGGUCAUAAUAUUAGGGUGCGUGGGAAUUCACAAUGAGCAAAACAGGUUUGACAUCACAAUGAGUAAACCAGGUUAGUAGACUAGUAGCAAUCCGAUGUAAUUCAUAUACAAAUACUUAUUUCAAAAGAACCCCGCAUUAUAUCGGUAAUUGUGCAACUCCCCUGACAACUAGGAUGGUUUAGGUUUUCCGUCACCGUAUCCAACCGUGCUCUCCUCCCCGUCGCCGUUGCUGACGGCCGCCGACACGCAUUGUCGACGGGUACCCCUCCACCUUUGACUCCGGGUGAAAAAUCUUGGUCUGGUCUUCUAGACCGAGCACGAUGGCGUGUUGUUGUCAUUUCCUUCUUGGAGAUAUAGUUCUGAGAGGUCUGGUCUAUAUGGAGUCGCUNNNNNNNNNNNNNNNNNNNNNNNNNNNNNNNNNNNNNNNNNNNNNNNNNNNNNNNNNNNNNNNNNNNNNNNNNNNNNNNNNNNNNNNNNNNNNNNNNNNNNNNNNNNNNNNNNNNNNNNNNNNNNNNNNNNNNNNNNNNNNNNNNNNNNNNNNNNNNNNNNNNNNNNNNNNNNNNNNNNNNNNNNNNNNNNNNNNNNNNNNNNNNNNNNNNNNNNNNNNNNNNNNNNNNNNNNNNNNNNNNNNNNNNNNNNNNNNNNNNNNNNNNNNNNNNNNNNNNNNNNNNNNNNNNNNNNNNNNNNNNNNNNNNNNNNNNNNNNNNNNNNNNNNNNNNNNNNNNNNNNNNNNNNNNNNGGAUGCGGGAGUGACGACCUUGUAUGGUGGGUUGCACGGUUGGCUCUCUGGUAAGCAACGUGGAGAUGGUGUUGCUUACUCCCCUUGGUCGUGUGGAUGGCAAGCAACGUGGAGACAGUGUUGCUUACUCCCCUUGGUCGUGUGGAUGGCAGGAGGAGUGUCGGCAGGUGGUCCCGCGCAUGGUGUUGCUGCCGGUGGCAGUGACUAAGCCCAAAUCUCGAUCUGUAGGCCUAGAUUCGUUCAUGAUGCCCCUCCCCUUGGUAGGAUCGAUGGCUUAGGUUCCUAGACGUGACACAAACAGAUACAGAGUGGACGCUUUGCACUCCACCGACAAUGAUGACGCCUAUGGGCAUCAUGCUCCUCUUGGGGCGCAGUUGUGGUAUUUUCCCCUAUGCAAGGGCUCUGGGUGUAAACCCUGCUUGCCCGCUCUAUUGGACUCGAUGGGGCGCAUUGCAUUGUGACCUACUACUUGGGAUGUCGCUGGGGAGAUCGUGUUUUCCUCCUCCUCACACCACGACGGCAUCUACACGUGGACUUGGAUCAUAACUCAAAAAAAUCUUUGGCGUUGGCGUGUGGCAGUCUUGAUGCCUCCUAUCCAUUAAACGUGCCCGCAUAGUCGCGCUAUCAAGCCUCGGGGUGCGUUUGGAUCGAAACGAAAACGCACCAUACCAAUAUUUUUUUGGCUCGCCCAUAAGAUUUGGCGGUCGUUUGGACUGUUGUCAGAAAAUUAGCGCGCCAACCACAUCUGGCGUUCGUCUGUGUAGAUCUGACCAAUGCGUUGGCGAGCGGAGGGCGCGGAAAAGGUCCGAUUGGCGGCGUGAGUUGCCCCUAUGUCUCGGUGAGUCCCAGGUAAGUUUCCACUUUUUUAGUACUCCCUCCGUUCCUAAAUAUUUGUCUUUUUAGACAUUUCAAAUGGAAUACAACAUACGAAUGUAUGUAGACAUAUUUUAGAGUGUAGAUUCAUUCAUUUUGCUUCGUAUGUAGUCACUUGUUGAAAUCUUUAGAAAGACAAAUAUUUAGAAACGGAGGGAGUACUAAUAUGAUGCAUGCAGGGAAGGUUGCAGAUUCUUUUGACAAUAGUUAAUUGAUGAGCCCUCACAUAACACUACUAGUUUACCAAAUUAAAAUUCGGCCAUGCCCUUGCAUUGGUCAUACCAAAUUUUUGAUGUGGCAAGUUGGGGCUUAAACCCUCAGUAUUCGAGGGCAGGGUCGACGCUCCUCGCUUCGGAGAUUCAGGUGCCGGUUCGUGUGGUGCAGCUACUCCUGUGCUCAUGCUUGACGGCGAGAUGGCCACAUCCGCUAGUGCAUGUCUAUGCAUUGUAUGAAGCAUUCUUAAUAUCUUGUCUCAUUUAGCCGUGCGGCUUUUUUUUUUUGGAGCAAAAGGGCACGCAGCCCCGGUUCCAUUGAUAAACAACGAAACCACAGUCACUUCGAAUACAGCCCUCGGAGCACAGCUCAUUACGCUGCCUCAGCAGAAUACUCAUCCUACCUUAACAGAACAUACCAAGUCUAAAUUGAGACAAAAAUGGAAGAAAACAUGGGUUUGCUUUUUUAGUGCUUUCCUCUACCGCCAGGGGAGAGAGCAGCAACAUCAUCUUUUUUCAGUUCAUGCCCCAUGCGCAUCUUGAAAGGAUCAAUUUAGACUUUCAGGCUAUCUCUAUCCGUAAACAGAACUUCAGAACUGAUACGUUCUCAUGGAUGUCAGCUUACACGACAAUCUCUCUUCUGCUCAAGUUCAGCCACCGCUAAUAAUGCCUUCAAUAGUGCUACAGUUUCCUUGCCUAAUUCUACCAAUGCCUUGAUUGAUCCUUCUUCAAUCACACUAGUCUUUUCCAGCGUGUGUUUUUCUUCUCCACCUGCAUUUGGUCCAUCAGGCCGGGUUGCCUCUGCUUGUUCAUAUGGAGGAGACACCCCUUGGAGCAGCUCGUACUCGACAUAACCCUCGCCCGUUUCCGAACUCGGCAACCAUCUCGCUAACCACAUGAAAAUAAAUGAAAUCAUCGAAGUAUCAAGCCACUGAACAAUCACCACAAGAACGCAUAAUACUAGUGUUGGCUUCCCGUCAGUAUUUUUUUUUUUGACUGACUGAAUAUUCCCGUCAGAAUUUACUAGAUACAACACUAAGUAUUGCUACCAAUUCCAAAAAACAUGAGUUCUGAAGCAUCCAGUAAUAUUUCUCAAACUUUGACCACCACAACUUUUAAGUUGUGUAAAUGUGUUAGAUAGAAGUUGUACCAUUUAAUCAUUGUAAUUUUUUAAACUACAUACAUUUAUAUGCAAACAUGAAUUUCAGAAGUUCAUCAUUGAAUAUUUUGCAAAAUAUAUAAAUCAACCAUUUUAAAACAGAAAAGAUACUGCUUAAUUAGAUGACAGUUUGAUUUUCUAUCAGUCCGCAGUACGGAUUUACAAGACCCACCAAUGGCAAUAGUCAAGCUCAAGUAUUACCAAUGAGUAGUUAAUCAGAGGUAUACAAUCAUGGAACAAGAUUGAACUAAUACCUCGUUUUUGCCAUCCAGCUUUAAUCAACAAAACAAUUUGCAAGAUACUAGUCGCAUUAUAUAAAAAAAUAAAAGAGCAGGAGUAAACAAUGCUAACGAUAAGUUUGGCAUGACUUUGGGUUUUGCACUAUGUCCAUUUCAGAAUAUUAAGAAAUUGGCAAUUUGACAAACCUUGCCAGCUGCAUUUCCACUGACAAUACUUGGGUUAGAUGUCUGUGAAAUGGUCACCUCACUGCCUGAACCAACAAACAGUUUGUUAGUAAGGAUUCAAGCACAGUAAUAAAGACCAAUUAAUAAAAAAGGGAUAAAUUAGGUAAGCAACGCCGCAUUUUGAUCUGAUUUGUAAGAUCACAUACCAUAAGGCCGGCAGCUACAGCAGGAGAUUCAAGAUCUGAUUCAAUCAUAAAGCGUGCAUACUCCUUGAUCUGGCCGCUGAGUCUAUAAUCGUCAGGAGUGACUCCUUCUGCGGAAUUACGCAACUUCUCCAUCUCGAGACACUUGAUAUCAUUAUUUUGCAAAGAUGUAAAUAAAAGUUGAUCAGCAAAGGAAUCAACCAAUAACCGGAUUAUUUUACAAAGUCUAGCUUAUUUUGGUACAUGCAGGAGGAAACUUACCCUACUGGCAGAAGCGUGCAGGCUGAGAAUAGCAGGAGAAUUACGUUGGAAAAACUCACUGAGGUAAUCCCAGUAAUUUUCGGAGAGAACAUAACCGGAUUCCCAUACCAACAGCCUGUCCCAACUCCAUGCGGUUUCCAUAAUCUCUACUAUCUAAAAGAAACCUAACGUUCCGUCUCCCCUCUUACGUUUCGUCGAGCCCUCCCCGCAUGGCCGCACUCGCGAUUGGUUUUUUCACAUCCUUCCCCACGUAGGUUUUGCAUUGAAGACUUUCCUAAAACAACCACCUUGAUUGAUUCCCCUGACCUUAGGGGGUGUUUGGUUUAGAAGUCCUAGGACUUUUUCUAGUGCCAGGGACUAAUCAAAAAAGACUCUCUAGUAGAGUCUUUUUCUAGUCCCUGUAAAAAAAGUCUCUCCCGUUUGGUUUCUAGGGACUUUUUAGGGACUUUUUCUAGUCUGUGGGACUAAAAAGUCCCUGAACAAAACACCCCCUUAGUCCCACCUCUGAUUUGGCCGCCGCCAGACUCUCGCCCAUCUCGCGAACGGCUGGAGGAUGUACGCUCCCCGUCCAUGACCUCUCGCCAGAGACGCCCUAACGUCACCGUAGCGCAUGACACAGGGAUUCGCCGCUGCAGCCCGCAGCUACUUUGCCCCUGGUGUCGACGAGGGGGUCGGCGAGAGCUCAUCUCCUCCCGGGGCUGCCGCCGCCGGGGUCGUCUCGUCAGGAGGACACGAUGUCGAUGCCGUCGCCGGCGACGCCUCGUUGUUCUCCCUCUCCCCUCACGCUUCAUGCUUCCUGGAUUAUUGAGGUUAUAAUCGUGAGGGACUCCUGAUUUUUGAACAUAUGUGUUUCUUGUUGUGUUGCAGGCUCUGCAGCCUGCAGGUCGUUCAACUCGGGUGUGCUGCAGCCUGCGAGAUCCGAGGCGUGACGACAUUGGUGAUUCUGUUCACCGUGGCCCAAGUUUAAGCCAGAUCUGCGACUGAGGCAUGGCGCAAGAAACCUACGCCGCAGGAAGGCUACGGAGGUGCGUUGCCCCCGGAGACGUCUUGGCACCAUCUCCGAUGAGCCCCCUUCUGAUGGAGCCUAUGCCGUUCUAUAUCUGGUGUUGGCUCUCGCUUCAAUCAGAUCCGCGGGAGGCUACUGCUGCCGCUGUCAGUGGCGCAGCGGAUUUGCGGAUGGCCUACCUAGCCACCAUGCGCAUGGUCCAACCUCUCCUCCGAUGUAUGCCUCCGUACUAUCACGCCCACUACGGCAAGCAUGAUGUGUGCACGUCUUGGUUGUUGCGGCCGUCCGGCAUUCGUCCCUUCCCAGCUAUCGGCGUGGCGCAUUGGCAUAAGAGCGAUAAUAUUCAUGUCUGCUAAAACUGGGUCGUUGAAUUUCGUCAAUUAACUUGGGAAUAAGGCAAUACGGGCGUCAAGAAUGGACUUUAAAAGUAAUGGAGGCAGUACCAGUGUUUUCCUACGCCUGGCAGAUUUUGCUCCAAAGAAGAAAGGAGAAGUUCACCAAAGUUGACCUUCAGUACUAAAAGUACUAAUAAUAUUACCUGCAAGUGCAAGCAAGGAGAACCACGGGUGCUUUGGCAAAAGGAAAGCAACACGAUGCCAAAAGCUUGUAGAAUUACCAUUGCAUCACCCAUCUUCUGAAACAUACAUGUUCUCUGUAUCUUGCACUCCAUUCUGUUCCUGGGAAUUUCUUUUGUUUAAAGCAAGAAGAUGGAGUUAUCAGAUAUCUUUGCCUAUAAAUAUUCUUUUGUCUGCAAGUGUUCUGUGCUCCUCGACUUGAUUCCCCUGGCGCUUAUAGAGGUACUGCAGUUGCAUAUUCCGAUAUGNNNNNNNNNNNNNNNNNNNNNNNNNNNNNNNNNNNNNNNNNNNNNNNNNNNNNNNNNNNNNNNNNNNNNNNNNNNNNNNNNNNNNNNNNNNNNNNNNNNNNNNNNNNNNNNNNNNNNNNNNNNNNNNNNNNNNNNNNNNNNNNNNNNNNNNNNNNNNNNNNNNNNNNNNNNNNNNNNNNNNNNNNNNNNNNNNNNNNNNNNNNNNNNNNNNNNNNNNNNNNNNNNNNNNNNNNNNNNNNNNNNNNNNNNNNNNNNNNNNNNNNNNNNNNNNNNNNNNNNNNNNNNNNNNNNNNNNNNNNNNNNNNNNNNNNNNNNNNNNUAACCCUUACCCUGAUCAUAAACGUAACCUGGUCCACACCUUCCAAAUCGGGAGAUCCUGGCCUGUCGGAAAGCGAGCGUUGGCACGCGCGCACGCGCAAUAUUGGUUUGUGAAAAUCUUAGGUGAAAUUUUAUAUAUAAUGAGCAAAAAAAUCUAUGAUCUCAAACAUUCCAUUGGUACAACCCAUACAAAAUUGAUUUCUUCUGUCAAUAUGAAGCGCUAAUCUUCUCCUCUAUAUAGGCUUGAAGGAUAAAAUUAUGGCAAGUCUGGUUGGUGGAGGAGGAAAAUAAGAAUGAUUUAAUAGUAAGAAAAGGAAGAUAAUGUUGCUUGAGAUGUGCAUGGGGAUUGUGAAUAUAUAUGUUUGAUACUUUCUCCUCUUGACAGAGAUUGGUCGAGGUUUGUUUAGUCCUCAUAAUAUGUGAGGUUCCAUUAUUGUAUAUUUCACCCUAAGCCCCCGUUGCAAUGCACGGGCAAUUACCUAGUAAGCUCUUAAAAUACGGAAGAAAGAUUAGUCAGCUCAGAUCAAUUUUUUUUUUGGCAAGGGGGGCUCAAAUCAAAUUUGAUAAUAAUAGUAAUCAUAAGAAUGAGGAAGGAAACCGGAAAUGACGGCACGAGGAAUCAAACCUAUGACGUCCCUAUACUCAACAAGGGCUUCUAACCACCAGAGUGAAUGGUUGCAUCUGAACGAUCCCGCAUCGCGAUUGUAUUUAAGAACUCUCUAUUGCGGGAUAUACCCCUUGCAUGUUAUUUUCUGUACGUGUACUGCAGCACAUAGAUUUGAAUAUGUGAUUUUUUUUGGAAAAGCUGGAACAUGAUUUGAAAUAUCUGAACAUUUUCUGAAGUUGUGAACAAAAAUUGAAAACACAAAAUAUUUAUCGAAAUUACGAACAAUUUUUUCAAAACACAAACAUUUUUUGGAAUUACAAACAAUUUGUUCAAAACACAUUUUCUUCAAAAGUUCAAAAAAAUAAAUAUUUUAGGAAUAUGUGAACAAAAUUGGACAAGCUGGAACAUUUUUUGAAAUUAGAGAACAAUUUUCGAAUUUAUGAUUUUUUUUAGAAAUGAGAACAUUUAUUCAAAUUCCUCGAACAUAUUUGACUUUGUGAACUAAGUUUCAAAAACACUAAUUUUUCAAAAUUUUGAACAUAUUUUGAAAGUGAGAACUUUCUUGGAAUUCCCUAUGAUUUUUUGAAUUUGUGAAUAAACAGAUAAAAUGCAUAUUUUUUUUGAAAUUCUGAACAUUUUCUGGAAAGUUGUGAAAAGUUCUGAAAAGAUACCAUAAGCCGCUGAAGAUUAGAUCUUUUUCUAAAAUUUUGAAACUGAUUUUUUUAAACGCGAACAUUAUUUGGGAAACUCAUUAUUUUUAUGGAAAAAAGGAAGAAAAUUGAAUAGGAGGAGAACAUUUUUCGAAAUUCUGAAUAAUUUUCUGAAAACGCAAACAUUUCUUGAGGAACAAUAUUUUUUCAAAAAAACAUGAACAUUUUUUAAAAUUACGAACGAUUUUACAAAAAUCCAAAACUCCUUUGAAAUUCCUGCGCACAUUUUUUGAAUUUGCGAAUUUUUCAACGUGACAUUUUUUUAAAGUUGAGAACAAAUUUCCCAAAUGGUAUUAUUUGCUGAAGUUGUGAACAAAUUUGGAUAAUAGGAACAUUAUUUAAUUGUCAAAAAAAUUGAAUUUGUGAACAAAAUAUAAAUAUACAAAUAUUUUUGAAUUUGUCAAAAAAAUUGAAUCAUGAACAUUCUUUAAUAUGCUAACAGAAUUUAAAAACAGGAACAAUUUUAUUGAAGUUCUUGAAUAUUUUUUAUUUUGUGAAUAAAAUUUAAAAUGCGAACCUUUUUGAAAUUCUAUUUUUUUUAUGAAUUUUAGGAAACAAUUCAAAUAGCGAACAAAAUUUGAAAUUUUAAACUUUUUAUAAUUCCGAACAUUUUUUCUAAUGAAGCGGACAAAACUUGAAAAUCUUGUUUUUUGGAAUUUCGGAAGAAAAUAUUUCUUGGAAUUUAAAAUAAUUAUGAAGUAGAAAAAAGAAAAAGUGUAAGAAAAUAAAAAUAAAAAGAAAAAACGACAAAGAAGACAAGUAGAAAAAUGAAAAAUGAAAAAGAAACUGCAAAAGAGGAAACCGGUUUCAGGAACCUACUAGAAGGUUCCCAAAACCGAAAAAAACCAGCUGGAAACAUCAUGGAAGGUUCCUAUCCUGAAGCGCUAAAUGGGCGGGCCCACCCCCGAAGGAUCCCUUGAGCGAAACAGUUACAACUUGUCGCAAAGAGCGGCAAAUAGGGUAUUCCGAAGAAGAGGGUGGUCCCCUGUAUUUGUUUGAAAAGAAACGUCGCCCAUAGCGCCACAAUUGGGUCGGCCCAGUAACCUGCGUUGUAGCUAGCCCAGAGCGGCCGCUCAUACUAAAUUCUCCUAUGCCCUAAAAAAACUAAAUUUUCCUAUAAAAGCAGAGCUUCAUCUCAAAAAAUAAAGUAAAAAGCAGAGCUCAAAUACCUUUUUCCCAAAGAAAUACUGCCCCUUUCACUAUUAUAAGAGUUUUGGCUACUUUAACAUAAAUUAUAUACAGACUAAAAUAAAUGAACAAACACACCAAUACGUGUCUACGUACAUCUUUUUUUUAAUAUUUUAUAAUAAUGAAUGGAGAGGGUAGCUCCUAAGUAUCGAGCUAGGCUCGAGUACAACUAUAGAGCACCGUUCCCUCCCUAAUAAAACCUGCACCUGCAUCGGAGUAAUCUUACUCCUAUAAUCUCAAAGAAAAAACCUGGUGAAUUUUUGUGCCAAAAGAGAUUGAAAGAAGCACCUGCUAAUUUUGCGCAUUAACCAAUAAAUCAAGCCAAGCACGCAAAUUUAACCUCGUUUGAAUCAUCUGGCUUAUUUGUAUACGUAUGUAUUUGUAUUCAUGUUCAUCUUUUACGUUCUUCUUACAUCUUAACAUACACUUAAACAUAAUAUAAUGCAAAUUCUAAUUGUAGACUGCACACUACUUACCGUGCAUGCUUAUCUCGUGCAUCCAAUCGAGAUCCUGCAGUCAUGAGUGUCUGUGAGCAUCUACAAUUGUACUUUGUUCAAAAGUAAUAAUAAUCUUGCAGUCAGAGGCUGAGCUAGCAUGUAGGUGUGGGUUCAGAUAUGAACCCAACAAAUUUUUCAUGCCACAUACAUACAUGUAUACACGUGGUCACAUGUUUUUUUGUAGAAUCACAUGUUGUCACAUGUAUGAAUCUGAAAUUACUAAUUAAGAAGUACCUUUUACAAAGAUCACUCCCACUUCUUCAGGUUGCCCAAGGGGCGCACUGCAUAUGCGCCACUUGUCGUAACCUGUUGUUGUUCAGUAGCAUCUUGUAUCCUUCUACCGCCUUCUUCUUCUUCUUCUUCUUCUUAUUCUUCUUCUUCUUCUUCUUUCGUGUUGUCUCGGUGGUUGUAUACUCGGCUGUUGCUUUAUCUAUAUCAAUAUAAAAAGAUUCAAAGGGGCAGAUCCAACUGAUUUCGGCCAUCAAACUAAGUCAAUCCAACGACCUAGACUGCUGCAAUGACGAGCAUUCAACGCGUUUAACAUGCAAUCAAUAUCAUACCAAAUAUUGCACUAAUCACAGAAUUAACACACAAAUAAUAGCAUACCUAAUAUCUGCGUGCAAUUGAUAUAUUGCCUAAAUAUUAACGUGCAUUGCACGUGCGCAUUUACUAGUAAUAUAAAGCGACGGAAUCUUUUAUCGUCAUUUAUUUAAAAUGUUUUACCUCUUAAACUGUGUGUCCAAAUCUUAAACCACUUUCGCCGUUGGAUUUCUCGCGUCGAGAUCUUCAAAAUUAGAUGCAAUGUUCAUAUGUUUCAACAAAUUCUUUUUUCAUUAAAAGGCGUACAAAAAAACUGGGAGCACAUUUUUUUCCCUUUCCAAAGAGGCACAAUCAUGACUCUCACAGAAGCAAAUUUGUGCCUCCAUGAGAAGCAAAUCAGUGCCUCUCGUGAAAGAAAAAACAUGUUUUUUUUUCUGAGAGGCACAUUUGUGCCUCUCGCGGAAGAAAAAUAUAAUUUUCUUUUCUUUUUCGAGAGGCAUGACUGUGCCUCCUGCAGAAGCAAAUCCGUGCCUGCACGAGAAGUAAAUAUGUGCCUCUCGCGAAAGGAAUUUUUUUCUUUUCUGAUAGGCACGACUGUACCUCUGAACAAAAUCUGAAAAUAGGAACAUUUUAUAAAAUUCCUGAACAUUUUUCGAAAACAUGAACAUAAGAAAAUAUUUGAAAAUGAGAACAUUUUUUUGAAUUGACUGAACAUUUUUCAAAAUUGUGAACAAAAUUUAAAACAAGAACAUUUUUUGAGAUUCUUGAAAGACUUUUUGAAUUACGGAUAUUUUUUCAAAUUGUGAACAAAAUUUAAAAACAGGAACAUUUUUUGAAAUUGAGAAUUUUUUUGAAAACAAGAACAUGUUAUAAAAUUCCGAAUAGAUAUUGGAUAUUCUCAAAAAAAAGAAAAUUACAAAAAAUGAAAGAGCGAAAAGAGACAAGAAAACAGAAAAAUAAAAUAAAAUUUUUAAACGAAAAAGAAAAAGAAAUCGAUAAAGAAAAGAAAUAAAAAGGGACAAAAAAGAAAAUAGAAAAAAUGGUUCAGGAACCUCCUAGAAGGUUCCCAAAACCAGAAAAAACCCGGCUGGGAACACCCUAGAAGAUUCGCAAAACCAGACUCGCACAAACAUUUGGAACGGCCCGGCCAACGAGAACGCUGGUCCAUCUCCCCCUGCGCGUCCGGUCGACUACUUGCAGCAACGAGCGGCAAAUAGGAAUUUCCAAGGGAGGCAGCACCAAUUUUACACUCUGUGGGUUAAAUAGCGCGUUGACGCAGAGCACUGAGGCUGGCCCGAUAUGAGGUAUGAGAUUGGAUGCUCCUCCAACGAGUUUUGUUUUUUUCUUUUGUUUUUCCAACCCUUUAAAAAUGACAGCAGGAUAUUUUAUAGAUGAAAAUAUGAUAAUAUAAAAAAUGUUCAUGAACUUCAAAUAUUCUCAAAUUUGAAAAAGUUCAUGUUCUAAAAAAAUUAAAAAUUGUUCUUGAACUAAAAUAUUAUUGUAAAAAGUAAAAAUGUUCUUGAAUAAAAAAUUCUCAAAUUUGAAAAGGUGUUCUCGAAUAGGAAAAAAUGUUCCCAAUUUUUAAAUGUUCUCAAAUACAAAAAAUGUGCUGAAAAAUUAAAAAAAUGCUCUCCAAUACAAAUAAAGUUCUUGAAUUUAAGAAAUAUUUUUGAGAUUUGAAAAAUGUUCUCAAAUUCAAAAACCAUGUAUUUUUAAAAGAAAACGCAAAUGAAAUAGGUGGACACUUUUAGAAAAGAGAGCAUCUUGAAAUUUUGGGAACAUUUUCAACGAAAAAACAAAAAAGAAAAAGGAGAAAAAAACAAAAAAACAUUGUAACAAAAAAAGAAUAAAAACCAAUAAAAGUAAAAUAAACCUUACAAGAGCGUUCUAAAAGGUUCCUAAAACUAGCAAACAUCAAUAUGGAACCUUCUCAAAACUGGUAACCCCAUGUGUGUGUACGCUAGUUAGUUGGAUCGCAGUUGUGUGCUUUGCUACCUUCGAUGGUCUGUGUGUUUCCUCGACACUUAGAUGCGGUGUGCGUCAAAUAUAAAACACCCCCGGAGAGAUACCUUGUGUUUGUAUGGUAGCAUCAUUCAAACAUAGAUACACUACUGCAGCAUAAUACAUUUUCAGGGUAUCUAUAAUUUUUGAUUGUUUCAUGUUGUUAUAUUAUUAUUCUUGGAUGUUUUACAUUCAUUUUAUAGUAACUUUAUAUCUUUUUUAGGACUAACCUAUUGAUAUAGUGCCCGGUGCUAGUUGCUGCUUUUUGCUUGUUUUUUACUUCGCAGAAUAUCAGUACCAAACAAAGUCCAAAUGCCACGAAACUUCUUAAAGAUUUUUUUGGACCAGAAGACAUCUUGGAAGCCAAGGAAGCACCAGAGGAGGGGCCCAUGGGGCCCACCACCUACUUGGGUGUGCCAGAGGCCCUUGGUGCGCCCUGAUGGGUGGUGGGGCCCAUGGAGGUCUUCUCCACCGCCUCUCAGCUCUAGAGAUACUCAGAUAUUCCAAAAACCCUAGGGGAGCGUUCGAAACACAAUUUCAGCCUCCGCAAGUUCCAGAACCACGAGAUCCAAUCUAGAGCCCUAUUCCGGCACUCUGUCGAAGGGGAACACGAUCACGGAGGGGUUCAUAAUCCUCAUUGGUGCUCCUCAGAUGAUGCGUGAGUAGUUCACCAUAGACUUACGGGUCCGUAGGCAGUAGCUAGAUGGCUUCUUCUCUCUUUUUGAUUCUCAAUACAAUGUUUUCCUCGAUGUUCUUGGAGUUCUAUUUGAUGUAAUAACUUUUUAUGGUGUGUUUGUUGGGAUCCGGUGAAGUGCGAGUUUAUGAUCACAUCCAUCCAUAAAUAUUAUUUGAGUGUUCUUUGAUCUCUUAUAUACAUGAUUGAUAUAGCCUCGUAUUUCUUCUCCGAAACUUUAGUUUGGUUUGGCCAACUAGAUUGAUUUUUCUUGCAAUGGAAAGAGGUGCUUUGUGAUGGGUUCGAUCUUGCGGUGUCCUCACCCAGUGACAGAAGGUGUAGCGAGGCACACAUGUAUCGUUGCUAUUAAGGAUAAAAAGAUGGGGUCUAUUUGUGACGCCCCAGAUUCAAUCGUACACUAAUCAUACACGCAAAUAUGCAUGAUCAAGAUCAGGGACUCACGAGAAGAUACCACAACACAACUCUAGACACAAAUUAAAGUCAUACAAGCUUUAUAUUACAAGCCAGGGGCCUCGAUGGAUCGAAUACAUAAGCUCGAAUGCAAACGAGUCAGCGGAAGCAACAAUAUCUGAGUACAGACAUGAGUUAAACAAGUUUGCCUUAAGAAGGCUAGCACAAAAGUAACGACGACCAAAAAGGCAAGGCCUCCUGCUUGGGAGCCUCCUAACUACUCCUGGUCGUCAGCGGUCUCCACGUAGUAGUAGGCACCCUCGGGGUAGUAGUAGUCGGCGGUGGUGGCAUCUGGCUCCUGGGCUCCACCAUCUAGUUGCGACGUCCGAGAAGAAUUGGUGCGGAGCAUCCUACGGGCAUCACCAUGUCAAGAGACCGUUUGGCAAGUGACACGUACGACCUCUACUUCUCAUACAUAAAGGUGAAUCUUCUUCUUUACACGUGUUCACUUGACCCCUUUGAGGAUGGUAUACUACUUGACACUCCACUCAUGUGCAUGCAUAGGUAUUGCCGGAGCUUCACGGACAACAAGGAGGAGUGCAAGCGCCAAGGAACAACUACACCAUCCGUGAGGGAAGCAUGGAAGAGAAGAUGGAGCUACAGAGCCUACAGCGGCUAGACGUCCGACAUGCCCCCGGACGUCCGACACUCUACAGCGGCCGGACGACCGGUAGGGACCGGACGUCCGACGCCUAGAAGCCCUAGCCAGCGCAAGCUACAGCUGGUGGAUGUCCAUCCCCGACCGGACGACCGAAGACCGAAGACCGGCCGUCUCCGGACGUCCGGUGUCACUUUUAUGGAACGAAAUUAGCGGAAGCCCGAGCCCUACCGGAUGUACAGACCCUCGCGAGCCACCGAACGACCGGUAAGGACCGGAUGUCUGCUGCCUGUGUGCGCAGCCGCGGGCCUUUGGCCUUGUAUCCCUAUCCCACUUACCCCUUGGUCGCUUAGACUAUAAAUAGACCACCUCCUCCUCCUAGAUAGGGUUAGCAAAGUGAUAGCUCAUUUGUAUGUGAGCUUUUCUCCUACCACUCCUCCUCUUGAGAGAGAGAGAGAGAGAGAGAGAGAGAGAGAGAGAGAGAGAGAGAGAGAGAGGGCACUACUCCAUUGGAGGCCAAGACCACCAUCUAGGAGAAGAUCCCGCGGGAUAUCAUCAAGACCCCCUCACGGGAGGACCCCCCAUCAAGACCUCCUCAUGGAGAUGAACUCUACCUUGUAUCUUUCCUUUUGUUGUUCAUGUACCUUGUGGAUCUUGUGUGUUUGAUUGUCUAGUGGAUGUGUGAUUGGACUUGUUCUUGAGUGUUUCCCCUUGUGAUUUCUCUCCGUUAUUCCCCGUGUUCAUCGUGUUCUUCGAGGGAUCCCACUCCAAUCAUGAAAGAUCAGCCUACAUUGGGUUAGCCCCGUAUCAAGAAUGGAAAAGGGGGGAAAAGAGGGAGCAAAGCAACCAUGAGUACUCAUCCAAAGUACUCACAAGCAAGGAUCUACACUACAUAUGCAUUGAUAUCAAUGAAAUGGGUGGUAUCUAUGUACUGAACUGCAGAAUACCAUAAGAGAAGGGGAAAGCCUAGUCUAUCAAGGACUAGCAUUUUCAAGCAUCUUACAACAUCAGAAGAGAUAAGAGUGGCAUAUUAUAAUAUUAGUAAGUAUGUUGUAACAUCGCCCAUGGAUCACUUCCUUGACUCCCUGCAAGAAAGCAAUCUCGGAGCCAUCAUUUCCAUUACAUGCCUCAACAUCCAGUUCUAGUUGUAUCGAUCGAGAUACAACUCUGAGCGUCCGUUACUGUGGACAUGGCUAUUCGAAUAGAUCAAUCUUCCCUGCAGGGGUGCACAAACUUACCCAACACGCUCGAUCAACUCCGGCCGGACACACCAUCAGGUCAUGACCGGCCUCGGCUGAUCAACACGUCGUAGUCCUACCUAGGUUCAACAGAAAGGUCACACGCCGGUCUACAUCCUAAAUGCAAAGGGGUCAUGGGCCAAUUGUCCUUUGCAAUCAUGCGCGUUGCAAGGGUGUACGGGAUCAGUCAUGGCUACCUCCAUAUAUAAGGCAGGUGCUUACGUAGACCACCCGGGUGCGUGCCGCUCAACCGUGGCAUCUAAAGAGCUUUCGGGAGAUACAAACGACGCGGAGUGCCCAUACUUAUUCCCGCAUGGUGGUUAGUGCGAAAAAGUCCAGAGGCCUACUCGGAUCAAAUAUCCAAAUCGUUAGUGUCUUGGGAGCGCGCGGUAACGACCAAUGAUCCAUGAUAUGUGGUACCAUCACCCCGUCUCACGGACUUGUGGCAAGGGCUAAGAAUGCUCGGCCGUGCCGCGUGGAAAACUCGCAGGUAUCCUCCAGAUCAACUCGACUUUAAAUCACUCGUUGGUACCCCUCGGGGCCGACCCGAUGUCAUCAUGGUCUUGUGGUAAGUCAAAGUAACCGUGUGUCCAAAAUAGCAAGGGGGAAACCCAAAGAAUCAUCCUCGAUGGACUCCCACUCGAUGUAACCAUCAAGGUGGACUUGGAGGAAUCACCCUCGAUGGUCCCCACUCGAGGGGUUGCACGACAGAGUCAUUAUCGAGAGUGGUGAAGGAGGAAUCACCCUCGAUGACCACGACCGAAUAACUACACUACAUGGUUAACAUCAAAAGUGCUGACGAGGUAUCACCCUCGGCACUCAAUAAUAAUUCUGCAGAGUCAUACAACUAAGGGGGGUGAUGUGCUGUGUCAGGGCCUGGACAUCGUUCACGUUAAUCGAGUCAUCAAACAUAAAGCGGGGCAACUGGGACAAGGUGGGGGGGUCACUGAUGGAUCUCUAACCAACCUAUACUAAGCAGUUUAGAAUAAGCAGGUAAGGUAUGAAAGCAGGUAACAAAAACAGGCUAUGCAUCAGAGUAGGAUCAUACAAAAAGCGGUAGCAAUUCUAAUGCAAACAUAAGAUAGAAGGUAAUGAGUGAUAUCGGAAUGAUCAAUGGGGGGUUUGCUUGCGUGGAAGCUCUGCUGCAAAGGAACGGUCAUCGACGACGUAGUCAAUCACCGGGGCGGCAUUGGUCUCGUGGUCUACCAGAGAGAAGAGGGGGAAGAAACAGUAAAUACAGAGCAAACAGAUGCAUCACUAAGCAUGACAUGACACUACAAGAAAAAGACACAUCCAUGAAAUUUUGGGUCGAAUGAAUUUUUUUCCUGUCAUGCUAAUGACACUUUUAUGACGAUAAUUGUGACAAACCCAAGUAUCGUCAUAGAUGUGGUGGGCUCCUACUUCUAUGAUAGAAAAUGGGCUUUUCAUCCUGGGCGGUCUGGAGACGCAGCUCCAUGACAUUCUUUGGGCCGUCCAUGACGGAAAAAAUCGUGGUAUAAGCGAGGGCGAGGAAAAUAUCGAGGAGUUCCCGGUUACGGUGGGUGGUCGGGGGCAAGCGAUGCAUGGAGGGAUUGCACGUUUCUCUCGUACACGUACGCGCAUGGGUGCGAGGCAUUGGGCUCUAACUGAACCCGAGCGAGGCGCUCGCCUACUGAACCCGAGGAUUGCACUGGCUACACAUUACUAAACCCGAGCGAUUGAUCGAUCCAUGGCUGUGAACUGAACCCGAUCGAGCGGUUCCUUCGCUACUGCUGCUAACUGAAGCCGAUCGAACCUGCUGCCUUGAUACGUCUCCAACGUGUCUAUAAUUUUGAUUGUUCCAUGCUAUUAUAUUAUCUGAUUUGGAUGUUUUAUAUGCAUUAUUAUGCUAUUUUAUAUUAUUUUUGGGACUAACCUAUUAACCUAGAGCCGAGAAAAUGAAUAUCAAACGAGUCCAAAUGGAAUAAAACUUCUGCGAUGAUCUUUCUUGAACCAGAAGCAAACCAAGAGACUUGGAGAUGAAGUCGGAGGAGCAACGAGGCGACCACAAGGGUGGAGAGCGCACCUAGGGGAUAGGGCGUGCCCCCUAUAUUGUGGGCCCCUCGUGAGUCUCCUGACCUAAUUCUUUCGCCUAUAUAUUAUCUUAUACCCCAAAACCAUCAGGGGCAUCCACGAAAACACUUUUCCACCGCCGCAACCUUCUGUACCCGUGAGAUCCCAUCUAGGGGCCUUUUCCAGCAUCCUGCCGGAGGGGAAUUUGAUCAUGGAGGGCUUCUACAUCAACACCAUUGCCCUUCUGAUGAAGCGUGAGUAGUUUACGUCAUACCUACGGGUCCAUAGCUAGUAGCUAGAUGGCUUCUUCUCUCUCUUUGAUUCUCAGUACCAUGUUCUCCUUGAUGUUCUUGGAGAUCUAUUUGAUGUAAUACUCUUUUGUGGUGUGUUUGCCGAGAUCCGAUGAAUUAAGAAUUUAUGAUCAGAUUAUCUAUGAAUAUUAUUUGAAUCUUUUCUGAAUUCUUUUAUGCAUGAUUUGAUGUAUUUUCAAGUCUCUUCGAAUUAUCAGUUUGGUUUGGACAACUAGAUUGGUUUUUCUUGCAAUGGGAGAAGUGCUUAGUAUUGGGUUCAAUCUUGCGGUGUCCUUUCCCAGUGACAGUAGGGGCAGCAAGGCACAUAUUGCAUUGUUGCCAUCAAGGAUAAAAAGAUGGGGUUUUCAUCAUAUUGCCGAGUUAAUUCCUCUACAUCAUGUCAUCUUACUUAAUGCGUUACUCCGUUCUUUAUGAACUUAAUACUCUAGAUGCAUGCUGGAUAGCGGUCUAUGUGUGGAGUAAUAGUAGUAUGUGCAGGUAGGAGUCGGUCUACUUGACACGGACGUGAUGCCUAUAUUCAUGAUUAUUGCCUUAGAUAUCGUCAUAACUUUGUGCUUUUUUAUCAACUGCUCAGCAGUAAUUUGUUCACCCACUGUAUUAUUUUCUAUCUUGAGAGAAGCCUCUAGUGAAACCUAUGCCCCUGGGUCUCUUGUCCAUCAUAUAAGUUCUCUUUUCCAUCAUACAAGUUUCCGAUCUACUAAUCUUGCAAUCUUUUACUUUCCAUCUAUAAAUCAAAAAUACCAAAAAUAUUUACUUUAUCCUUUAUCUAUCUCUAUCAGAUCUCACUUUUGCAAGUAACCGUGAAGGGAUUGAUAACCCCUGUAUCACGUUGGGUGUAAGUUUGUUUGAUUGUUUGUGCAGGUAUUCGGUGAUCUGUGCGUUGUCUCCUACUGGAUUGAUACCUUUGUUCUCAAACUGAGGGAAAUACUUAUCUCUACUUUACUGCAUCACCCUUUCCUCUUCAAGGGAAAAACCAAUGCAAGCUCAAGAAGUAGCAGGAAGAAUUUCUGGCGCAGUUUCCGGGGAGAUCUACGCCAAGUCAAGACAUACCAAGUAUCCAUCAUAAAUUCUCAUCUCUUGCAUUACAUUAUUCUCCAUUCGCCUCUUGUUUUCCUCUCCCCCACUUCUAAAACGAUUUUCGAAAAGAUUUGCCUUUUCUUCGCCCCUCUUUCGUUCGUCUCUCUCGCUUGCUUUUUUUGUGCUCAUGUGUUGGAUUGCUUGCUUUGUCAUGAUGGCUCAAGAGAAUACCAAAUUGUGUGACUUUUCCAACACCAACAACAAUGAUUUUAUUAGUACUCCGAUUGCUCCCGCUACUAAUGCGGAAUCUUGUGAAAUUAAUGCCACUUUGCUGAAUCUUGUUAUGAAAGAUCAAUUUUGUGGCCUUCCUAGUGAAGAUGCCGCAUCCCAUCUAAACAAUUUAAUUUAUUUGUGUGAUAUGCAAAAGAAAAAAGAUGUGGACAAUGAUAUUGUUAAAUUGAAGCUAUUUUCGUUUUCGCUUAGAGAUCGUGCUAAAACUUGGUUUUCAUCUUUGCCUAAAAAUAGUAUUGAUUCGUGGAACAAGUGUAAAGAUGCUUUCAUCUCUAAGAAUUUUCCUCCCACUAAGAUCAUCUCCUUUAGGAACGAUAUUAUGAAUUUUAAGCAACUUGAUCAUAAACAAGUUGCAUAAUCUUGGGAGAGGAUGAAAUAGAUGAUACGAAAUUUCCCUACACAUGGUUUGAAUUUGUGGAUGAUUAUACAUUUUUUUAUGCCGGAUUGAAUUUUGCUUCUAGAUAUCUUUUAGAUUCGGCCAUGGGAGGCACUUUUAUGGAAAUCAGUUUAGGAGAGGCUACUAAACUCCUAGAUAAUAUUAUGUUUAAUUAUUCUCAAUGGCACAUCGAAAGAUCUUCCACUAGUAAAAAAAGUGCAUGCAAUUGAAGAAAUUAAUGUUUCGAGUGGAAAGAUGGAUGAACUUAUGAAAUUAUUUGCUACUAAGAGUGCUUCUAUUGAUCCUAAUGAUAUAACUUUGUCCACUUUGAUUGAGAAUAACAAUGAAUCUAUGGAUGUCAAUUUUGUUGGUAGGAACAAUUUUGGUAAUAACGCAUAUAGAGGUAAUUUUAAUCCUAGGCCGUUUCCUAGUAAUUCCUCUAAUAAUUAUGGUAAUUUCUACAGCAAUUCUUAUGGAAAUUUUAAUAAGAUGCCCUCUUAUUUUGAGAUUAGUGUUAAAUAAUUUAUGAGUUCGCAAAAGAAUUUCAAUGCUUUGAAUGAAGAAAAAUUUCUCAAGAUCGAUGAUUUGGCUAGGAACAUGGAUAGAAUUUCUCUUGAUGUUUAUUCUUUGAAACUUAGAUCUAUUCCACCCAAGCGUGAUAUUAAUGCAUCUCUCAAAUCCAUGAGAAUUUCCAUUGAUGAGUGCAAAGAAAGAACUGUUAAGAUGCGUGCUUAACGAGAUUUGUUUGAAAAAGCGUGUUCUUCUAGUUUUCGUGAAAAUAAUGAUGAAGAUCUUAAAGUGAAUGAUGUGACUCCUAUUGAAUCUUUGUUUUCCAAUAUAAAUCUUGAUAAAUAUGGUACUGGAGAUGAGUAAACUUUAGUUAAAAGGCGUCCCAAUGAUUCAGAGUUUUAGAUCUAGAUGCAAAAAUUGAUAAAAGUGGGAUUGGAGAGGUCAAGACUUUAAGUAGCAAUGAACCCACUCUUUUGGAUUUCAAGGAAUUUAAUUAUGAUAAUUGUUCGUAUUUCCUGGUUGCAAUCCAUGUUGAAUUCUCCUCAUGCUUACAAUCAAAACAAAGCUUUUACUAAACAUAUCAUUGAUGCUAUGAUGCAAUCUUUUGAAGAAAAGCUUGAAUCGGAAGUUUCUAUCCCUAGAAAACUUUAUCAUGAGUGGGAACCUACUAUUAAGAUUAAGAUUAAAGAUUAUGAGUGCCAUGCUUUGUGUGAUUUGGGUGCUAUCAUUUCCACAAUUCAAAAAACUUUAUGUGAUGUGUUAGGUUUCCGUGAAUUUGAUGACUGUUCUUUAAAUUUGCAUCUUGCGGAUUCCACUAUUAAGAAACCUAUGGGAAGAAUUAAUGAUGUUCUUAUUGUUGCAAAUAGGAAUUAUGUGACCGUAGAUUUCAUUGUUCUUGAUAUAGAUUGCAAUCCUACAUGUCCUAUUAUUCUUGGUAGACCUUUCCUUAUAAUGAUUGGUGCAAUUAUUGAUAUGAAAGAAGGAAACAUUAGAUUUCAAUUUCCGUUAAGGAAGGGCAUGGGACACUUUCCUAGAAAGUGAAUUAAAUUGCCAUAUUGAGAGCUACUUAUGGAUUGCAUACCAAAGAUGACAAUACCUAGAUCUAUUCAUGUUUUUAUGCCUAGCUAAGGGUGUUAAACAAUAGCGCUUGUUGGGAGGCAACCCAAAUUUUUUUGUUCUUUGAUUUUUGUUCAUGUUUUGCUUUGAAUAAUUAAUCUAGCCUCUGGUUAGAUAUGGUUUUGUGUUUUAGUUAGUGUUUGUGCCAAGUAAGACCUUUAGGAUAGCUUACAGUGAUAGUUGUUUUGAUCCUGCUGAAAAAUAGAAACUUUUGCGCCCAGUAAAUAAUUUCCUGGAUUUUAUUGAAACGUGCUUUUGAUAUGAUUCUUUUUGCUCUGGAUUUGUGUACAUAUUUUCUAGAUUGUCCUAAUUGUUUAGAUUUUUUGGAGUUACAGAAGUAUUCAAGAGUUAUAGAUUGCUACAGAUUGUUCUGUUUUUGACAGAUUCUGUUUUAUUUGUGUUGUUUGCUUAUUUUGAUGAAUCUAUGGGUAGUAUCGGGGGGUAUGAACCAUGGAAAAUUUGAAAUAUAGUAGAUAUUACACCAAUAUAAAUAAAGAAUGAGUUUGCAAUAGUACCAUAAAGUGGCAAUUUAUUUUCUUAUACUAACGGAGCUUAUGAGAUUUUCUGUUGAGUUUUGUGUUGUGAAGUUUUCAAGUUUUGGGUAAGGUUUUGAUGGACUAUAGAAUAAGGAGCAGCAAGAGCCUAAGCUUGGGGAUGCCCAAGGCACCCCAAAGUAAUAUUCAAGGACAACCAAGAGCCUAAGCUUGGCGAUGCCCCGGAAGGCAUCCCCUCUUUUGUCUUCGUCUAUCGGUAACUUUACUUGAGGCUAUAUUUUUAUUCACCACAUGAUAUGUGUUUUGCUUGGAGUGUCUUGUAUGGUUUGAGUCUUUGCUUUUUAGUUUGCCACAACCAUCCUUGCUGUACACACCUUUUGGGAGAGACACGCAUGAAUCGUGAUUUAUUAGAAUACUCUAUGUGCUUCACUUAUAUCUUUUGAGCUAGGCAAUGUUGCUCUAUGUGCUUCACUUAUAUCUUUUUAGAGCACGACGGUGGUUUUAUUUUAUAGAAAUUGAUGAACUCUCAUGCUUCACUUAUAUUAUUUUGGGAUUAUCUAAACAUCAUGGUAAUUUGCUUUGGUUAUAAAUUUAGUCCUGAUAUGAUAGCCAUCCAAGAGGGAUAUAAUAAAAACUUUCAUAUAAAGUGCAUUGAAUACUAUGAGAAGUUUGAUUCCUUAUGAUUGUUUUGAGAUAUGAAGAUGGUGAUAUUAGAGUCAUGCUAGUGAGUAGUUGUGAAUUUAAUAAAUACCUGUGUUGAGGUUUGUGAUUCACAUAGCAUGCACGUAUGGUGAACCGUUAUGUGAUGAAGUCGGAGCAUGAUUUAUUUUUUGAUUGUCAUCCUUUGUAUGGAGGUCGGUAUCGCGUGGUGGUUAACUCUCACCAACCCUUCCCCUAGGAGCAUGCGCGUAGUGCUUGGUUUUGAUGACUAAUAGAUUUUUGCAAUAAGUAUGUGAGUUCUUUAUGACUACUGUUGAGUCCAUGGAUUAUACACACUCUUACCCUUCCACCAUUGCUAGCCUCUCUUGUGCCGCGCAACUCUCGCCAAUACUAUACACCCACCAUAUACCUUCCUCAAAACAGUCACCAUACCUACCUAUUAUGGCAUUUGCAUAGCCAUUCCGAGAUAUAUUGCCAUGCAACUUUUCACCAUUCUGUUUAUUAUGACACGCUUCAUCAUUGUCAUAUUGCUUUGCAUGAUCAUGUAGUUGACAUCAUAUUUGUGGCAAAGCCACCUUCCAUAAUUAUUUCAUACAUGCCACUCUUGAUUCAUUGCACAUCCUGGUACACCGCCGAAGGCAUUCAUACAAAGUCAUAUUUUGUUCUAAGUAUCGAGUUGUAAUUCUUGAGUUGUAAGUAAAUAAAAGUGUGAUGAUCUUCAUUAUUAGAGAAUUGUCCCACUGAGAAAAGGAUGAUGGAGACUAUGAUUCCCCCACAAGUCGGGAUGAGACUCCGGACAAAAAAGAAAAAAAGAAAAAAAAGAGGCCAAAAAAAGAGAGAAAGGCCCAAGUAAAAAAUGAGAGAAAAAGAGAGAAGGGGAAAUGUUACUAUCCUUUUUCCACACUUGUGCUUCAAAGUAGCACUAUGAUCUUCAUGAUAGAGAGUCUCCUAUGAUAUCACUUUCAUAUACUAGUGGGAAUUUUUCAUUAUAGAACUUGGCUUGUAUAUUCCAAUGUUGGGCUUCCUCAAAUUGCCCUAGGUCUUCAUGAGCAAGCGAGUUGGAUGCACACCCACUUAGUUUUAUUUUUGAGCUUUCAUAAACUUAUAGCUCUAGUGCAUCCGUUGCAUGGAAAUCCCUACUCACUCACAUUUAUAUCUAUUGAUGGGCAUAUCCAUAGCCCGUUGAUACGCCUAGUUGAUGUGAGACUAUCUUCCUCUUUUUGUCUUCUCCACAACCACUAUAUUUUGUGUGAUGAAGAUGGAGCGUAGCCAGACUAUAUGAUUUUGCAUGAUUUGAAUAUUUUGUGUGAUGAAGAUGGAGCGUCGCCAGACUAUAUGAUUUUGUAGGGAUAAGCUUUCUUUGGCCAUGUUAUUUUGAGAAGACAUGAUUGCUUUAUUAGUAUGCUUGAAGUAUUAUCAUUUUUAUGUCAAUAUUAAACUUUUGUUUUGAAUCUUACGGAUCUAAACAUUCAUGCCACAAUAAAGAAAAUUAAAUGGAUAAAUAUGUUAGGUAGCAUUCCACAUCAAAAAUUCUAUUUUUAUCAUUUACCUACUCGAGGACGAGCAGGAAUUAAGCUUGGGGAUGCUUGAUACGUAUCCAACGUAUCUAUAAUUUUUUAUUGUUUCAUGCUAUUAUAUUAUCUAUUUUGGAUGUUUUAUAUGCAUUAUUAUGCUAUUUUAUAUUAUUUUUUGGACUAACCUAUUAACCUAGAGCCUAGUGCCAGUUCCUAUUCCCCCCCCCCUUUUUUAGAGUUUCGUAGAAAAGGAAUACCAAACGGAGUCCAAACGGAAUAAAACUUUCGCGAUGAUCUUUCUUGGACCAGAACCAAACCAGGACACUUGGAGAUGAAGUCAGAGGAGCAACGAGGCAGCCACAAAGGUGGAGGGCGCGCCCCUGUCUAGUUGGCCCCUCAUGGGGCUCCUAACCUAAUUCUUUCACCUAUAUAUUCUCUUAUACCCCAAAACCAUUGGGGGCAUCCACGAAAACACUUUUCCACCGCCGCAACCUUCUGUACCCAUGAGAUCCCAUCUAGGGGCCUUUUUCGCCGUCCUGCUGGAGGGGGAUUCGAUCACGGAGGGCUUCUACAUCAACACCAUUGCCCUUCUGAUGAAGCGUGAGUAGUUUACCUCAGACCUACGGGUCCAUAGCUAGUAGCUAGAUGGCUUCUUCUCUCUCUUUGAUUCUCAAUACCAUGUUCUCCUUGAUGUUCUUGGAGAUCUAUUUGAUGUAAUACUCUUUUGCGGCGUGUUUGCCGAGAUCCGAUGAAUUGUGGAUUUAUGAUAAAAUUAUCUAUGAAUAUUAUUUGAAUCUUCUCUGAAUUGUUUUAUGCAUGAUUUGAUGUCUUUGCAAGUCUCUUUGAAUUAUUGGUUUGGUUUGGCCAACUAGAUUGGUUUUUCUUGCAAUGGGAGAAGUGCUUAGCUUUGGGUUCAAUCUUGCGGUGUCCUUUCCCAGUGACAGUAGGGGCAGCAAGGCACAUAUUGCAUUGUUGCCAUCAAGGAUAAAAAGAUGGGGUUUUCAUCAUAUUGCUGAGUUAAUUCCUCUACAUCAUGUCAUCUUACUUACUGCGUUACUCCAUUCUUUAUGAACUUAAUACUCUAGAUGCAUGCUGGAUAGCGGUCGAUGUGUGGAGUAAUAGUAGUAGGUGCAGGCAGGAGUCGGUCUACUUGACACGGACGUGAUGCCUAUAUUCAUGAUCAUUGCCUUAGAUAUCGUUAUAACUUUGCGCUUUUCUAUCAAAUGCUCUGCAGUAAUUUGUUCACCCACUAUAUUAUUUUCUAUCUUGAGAGAAGCCUCUAGUGAAACCUAUGGCCCCCGGGUCUCUUUUUCAUCAUAUAAGUUCUCUUUUCCAUCAUCCAAGUUUCCGAUCUACUAUUCUUGCAAUCUUUUACUUUCCGAUCUAUAAAUCAAAAAUACCAAAAAUAUUUACUUUAUCAUUUAUCUAUCUCUAUCAUAUCUCACUUUUUGCAAGUAACCGUGAAGGGAUUGAGAACCCCUUUAUCGCGUUGGGUGCAAGUUUGUUUGAUUGUUUGUGCAGGUAUUCGGUGAUUUGUGCGUUGUCUCCUACUGGAUUGAUACCUUGGUUCUCAAACUGAGGGAAAUUACUUAUCUCUACUUUGUUGCAUCACCCUUUCCUCUUCAAGGGAAAAACUAAGAUGGUGGAUGACGAGAAGGCCUAGGAAGGGGAUGACGCGGAGCCGGGGAAGACGCAACAGUGGAUGCCCAUGCAGAGAGGAGUACAAGGGUUGACUAGUUCGGUUAUGGUGUGAGGCUACCAUCGUCGCAGAAUAACAGGGGUUGUAGGUGAGUAGAGGAUGGCCUGGCCAAAGGUUGGAGUAUGGUGGGGUGGUCAGGCCUGCGCGGUAGCAGAGUUGGCCAUGGGAGGCAGGAGCAGGCGACACGACCGGUGCUAGUUUGGGCGACUAGAGCAAGAAGACUAGAGGUUGAAGAAGCACUACUGUCGUUGGAUGGAUAUUGUACGGUCACUGGAGCUAGAAUCGUUCAUAUUGACUAAGUUGACAAAGCCCUCCGUCCGCGUCAACUUAGUAGGCCCACAAGUCAGCCUCCCACUAUGGUGGGUCUGAACUAGGAGGGGAGUAUUCUUUUUUUGUGUAAUAAGGAGGCACUUCCUUGUGUGCGAAGAUAUAACUAGUGGGUCUGAGGUGUCAGCGUGGGGAACAACUUUUGGUGAAAUACAGAGGCCCUUCCGGCGGGUCCCAGCUGUCAGGUGGAGGAACCAUUAUUUUGCGCGUAAUAAGGAGUCAUUUCCUUGCGUGCGGUCGUGGAACCAGCUGUCAGCCUCUCCACGUAUAGUCCACUUCCGAUGAAUGUCGUUCAUUGACCAUGUUAACCACGCCGCGACGAGAGCACCAGGGCGGUGGAUGAUGGCGAUGCCUAGGAAGGGAAUGACACGGAGCUAGGGAAGACUUGGCAGUUGCUUCCCACGCGGAGGAGGGUACGAGGGUUUACUGGUUCGUAUGCCGUCGCUGGAGAAUAACAGUGGGUGCGGAUGAGUAGAGGGAUGGCUAGGCCAACGAUGGGAGUACGAUGGGGUGGUGAGGCCUGUGCGGUAGCACAGUCGGCCGCAGGAGGAGGGAGCAGGCAGUCCCGUCGGCGCUUGUUUGAGCUGCUGGAGCAGGAAGAGCAGAGAUUGAAGAAGCACGAAGGUCGUUACAUGGACAUCCAACAAUCACUGCUCUCGUGUGUUGAUUAAGUUGACACGACGUUGCAUGUGCGUCAACCUUUUUUUAGGAAAGUGUACGCGUCAACCUAUAGUAGGCGCACAAGUCAGCCUCAAAUAUGUGGAAAACAACAUACAUCCCAUCUGCCAUUAUUUCUAAUAAUUUAUAGCCCAUUUGCUAAUUCUUAUGGAUUUUGUUGGAGCCCGUCUUCUUUCUGUUAGCAUUACAGCCCAUAUUGUGGCCACGGUUAAAAAAUAUUUGAAAUUUUGCAUAUUUCGGUGCGGUCAACUGUUUUUAAUCCUGAAAUUUUGAGUCACAUUCAAACUAAUUUGAAAAAUAAAUUUAUAUAAAUAUAAAUCCAAAUAAUUGUCCGUGCAUAAAAAUCAAUGGACUUUAAAAUCUUGAAAUGAAAAAAAAUAAAAACUAAUUCCCGAUUUGAUGCGUUUUAAAAAUGUACAACCCAUUUCUCAUUACUGAUAGCCCAUUUUCUGGGCAAGCCGAAUGAAAUUCUCCUCGUCUUCGAAGAUUUGCAGCCUAGCAGGGCUGACAAAGAAAGUAGGCCUCGGUUGGUUGCUUCUUUAAAAAAAAUAGAACCGAGCUAGCCAUUUUUAGCAAUAAAAAACACAACUUGGCUCAUGAUGUGGUAAACAUAAAUAAAACCCUGGCUAGACGGGCCACAACCCUGUACAGCCCCAUUGUUACCCUGAUCUGUCUCUAAAACUAGUAUAAAUAACAACUGCUUGUUCCUAAAAAAAGUAAAUAACAACUGCAUGACCUGCUGGGUCCCUGGUGUCAGCCGCUUGUUGGGUAAUUCUCUCAUUUAUUGACUAUGUUGACAAUGGCAUGGGCCCCAGAUGUCCAACCCUUAGGAGGAACCAUUUUUUGGGCUUGUAAUAAUGAGGCACUUGCUUGCGUACUGCCAUGACCCUGGUGGGUCCCUACUGUCAUCCUCUCCACGUACGAUCAUCUCCUUGUUCCUCUCAGUUGUUGACGAUGUUGACAACGCAAGAGGGCGGCGCACCAUGCAUGGCAAGCAAACCAAGGCGGAGGACAACAGCGAGGCCUCGAACAGAACAAAUAUGAGUCAUGGAAGAUGCGCCGGUCUAGUCGCGGGCGGAGGAGAGUAUGAGGGUUGACCGAUUCGGGUGCGGGUGCGUGUUGGGGCUGACGUCCUCAGAGAAUAACAGGACGUGUGGGGGAAUAGAGGGAGAGACUGGCCAACAUUGGAGGGUACAGUAGGGCGGCAUAGGCACAACCAGCCGUGGGAGGCGGGAGCAGGGGGAACCGACAGGGUGGUUUGGUUCGGGCAGCUGGAGGAAGAAGACAAGAUAUAGAAGAUACACGACAGAUGUUGGAUGUCAAUCCAACGACUGGUAGGCAGAAUCGUUUGUUGACUAGCUAGUAAGUCGACACCACCUUGGAUAGGAUUUUUCCUCAUGGGUCCCAAAUGUUAGAAUCCAAAUCGGUCACGGUCAUGCAGCCUUUCUUAUGAAAAUUUAUAGUCCAUUUGGUGUGCUAGUUCAAAAUAAGUUUGUGGGUGCUAGUGGGGGCUAAUCACUUGGGUUCUGUAAUGCAUAGUGAGCUCAAGCAGCCGGCGAGAGUGAUGUUAUUUCCCUUGGUUGGGAUUUGUUACAAUAUUUCACUCUUAAUUAAACGAAUGGCAAGCCAUUUGCCUUGUUUCAAAGAAAAUAUGAUAGUCACAGCCGAGUUGAAAAGGGCAACAACAUCUAACUCCAUCUUACAAACUGUACAAAAGCACGAGGGUUAAUUGUUCAUCAGGUUUAGAUAAAACCAUGAUUGAAAAGGGCAACAACAUCUAACUCCAGCACUGUUUUCGGCAGUCAUAGUCAAAUGGAUCAGUCAGGUCCAUGGAAUGAACAUCCUGGGUCGUAAAAUUUACUGGAUUAUGACCACAAGAUGUUGUAAAUAGAAGCCCGACACGUUCAGAAGCUCUUUUGUUCACCUGAAACUCCUUUUUUUGCUCUUAGACAUACCCAUCCGUCAAAACCAUGCUGCUGAUAAACUUAAGCCUGAUGGACAAUAGUAACCUCGCAUUCAACAGGAAGAAUGUGACAAAUCUAGUGUUUGCAUGGUUGGUUACAUAUUGUUGCAGCAUUAUUGUCUUCAGUCGAAUGUCAUGAGAAGUGAGAAAAUACUGGUGCUUAAAAAUCCACCGAUUGGUUAUAACUUUCUUACCCUGUCCUAUUGCCUAAAUAGACAUGAAGAUUGAAAACAAUUAAGGUCUAAAAAAGAGUGUCGAAAGAGCAACAACUGAACGGUUAAUUCUAGUACACUAUAUGCGGGCUUCCAAUGUGCGUGAAAUUACCACCUUUAUAUACAACUUAUACAGACAGGGAAAGCAUUGCAGCAAGCCAAUAAUCUCGUUCGGAUCAAAACUAUUCAUUUGGAUAUAUAUAAGAUCUUGACAGAAUCCAGCACCAUUGAUAGGCUAUCCAUGGAGAAACUCUUCAUUGAGCAUAGAACAUAAUAUUAGUACAAAAUGUGUACUCCAAGAUGAUAUAUAACUUAUGCGUAGAAAUUUAAAAUGCAGCUUGUGGUUACAAGUGUAGAUGAUAAUAUAUAGUACCUGAAGAACUAUGGAGCCAAACACCAUCUUGAAAUGAGCACAUAGAUCAUGUUUAGCACAGAGAUCAUGUUUACACCCAAGGUGUCUAGUUUAGGCACAGAGACGAUGGUUAUUUGUGACGGUGAAUAACUAGAAUCAAGGAUCAACCUUUGAAGUGAAGGGGCAUCUUGGAUGAUGAGCUACCUUCCGUCAAAAGAAAUUCCAAUUCUUACAAGGUUAGGUGACUUUAUUUGGAGACAACCAAUUCUAACUGUGAAAACAAGCACCAAGCACUCUAGGGUAGGGCAACUGGAGUGGAUGAUGUUGUGAAAUGAGGCCUCCGAUAUACGAACCCGCACAAGUGAAAGUUUUUUGAGAAAUGGGAGUCGGAGGUUUAGUACCAUAUCGUAUGGUAGGUAGCACAUCGCCAAGGUGGCGAUGUGGAGAGAGGAGGAAAACCGCGAGAUGGACAUCAAUGCUGAGGGCACAAGUACAUGGCAUUCGGUAUCUGGUAGGUGAUUUCCUGGGGAAUAGUAAAACUCAUGCAGUUGUAGUUCUGUGAAUUCAGGGGAUUUCAGCCAGGCGUCCACCGUGCAGGGCAUGGUAUGCUUGCUCAGGUAGCAUGAUGGGAUGUAGAGGCUUUGAACGGAGCCUUGGUGGGAGGAGAUGAUGGCUCUGUGGAGUUCAAAAUCAUUAAAGACAGAUAGCUGACGAUAAUCGAGAUUAAGGGGCACGGCGCGCCAUAGAGGGCGCCACCGAAUUCAGAGGACUUGGGUGUGGCAGCAAUCCUUGGUGGGGAGAAGCGAGAUGAUCUCCCCGAGGAUGGCGUCCGGGAGAUCACUGAUGCGGUCCACCCGAGAUUCUACGGGUUCUUGGGAUCCGGUAGGGGCGAGCUCGCCGCUUCUCCCCGCGCUGUCGGGUGCGGGAUCUAGAACAGGCAUCGCCACUGGUGGGAGCCUCAUCUUCUUGGCACUGGGGUUAGUCGACUUCAUUUUACUCGAGGGCGUCGCGUCGAGCUCACGGAUUUGCGCAGAGUAAUGAAUGAUGAGCCUAGUUGUAGUGCGAGUGAAGAAGAAGGGGAGCUGGGGUUUUUCUAUAGUAGUGAGGAAGAAGGGGAGCUGGGGUUUUCUGUAGGAGUGAGGUGAGGAAUUUGGGCGUACGAGUGGAGCGAGCUGACGUGAGGUGGGUGGGAGUGAGGAGGAAGAAGAGCACCCAGGUUUUUUGGGGAGGGUGUGCUAUGUAGCGCCUCUCAUUAAGUAAAUAUAUGGGCUUUUGAAUUGAUUUUAUAUUUGCAAGGGUGGAUGGGCUGUUUUGUCUUGGGCCCAGAGAAACAAUUACUACUAGUACAGUGGAGACACUCUACGGCUACCCAGAAAAACAAUUACUACUAGUACAGUGGAUACACUACCACGUAUAGCUCCUCCGAGGUCAUCGAAACAUCUCCCUCUACUGAAUGUCGUUUUACAUUUGUUCACCGACAUGCGGGCAAUGCAGCGCGCGGGCCCAAAUGCCAUCCACCAAAUUAGAAGGCAGUAUGCAGGCGGAGAGUCACCCCGGUCAUAGCGCGGCAGUAACGAGUCGUCGUAUCACAAAACCCCACCUCCCCACAGUCUAAGUUUGACGGACGAAGCAACCAUCAUUUCACUCUUCGCUGAAUCCCCUUCUCCCUCACCGUGUAACAUCCCAAAAUUCUAAAUUUUGGAAUGUUAUAUUAAAUGAAUAGUUUUAAUUGUUUGUUUGAUUGUGGUGUGGUUGCUUGUGUGAAAUUUGAAACUUUUUGAAAGUUAAAUGAGAGGGAAUGAAAUGACUUUCCCAAACUUUCGCCUUGAAUUUAUGAUCUCCAUGAACUCAUAUUCAUUUCAUCACAAAACCCUAGAGUGAAGAUGAUAUAACUUCUUCCAUUUAAAUAAAUGAAAAGGGUUUUGAAAAGAUUUGAAUUCUAUUUGGAAAUAUUUCAAAUUCGGAAACUUUAUGUAACUCAAUGAGUUUCAUGAGAGAAGAUAAAAUGACUUCUUCAAAUGCUAAGAAAGAGAGUUGGAAGUUUCAAAGAAUCAAAUUGAAAGUCCCUUUGAAGUUAUUUUGAAACCCACUUUCAAUUUGGAGUUAUUUGGUCUUUAUUCAAAUUAUCUUUCUCCAAAAAUAAAAUAUAUGGAAAAUAGGGUAAAAUGAUUCUCUACAGUAGAAAAGUAGAGAAAAAUGAGUUUGAGAUCAUUUUGGGUAUUUUGAAAUACUUUUAUUUGGUUCUUAAAUGAACCACUAGUACUGUUCGCUUUAUUUAUUUUUUUGUGGAAAUUAUUUGCCGCUGAAAAUAUGUUCAUCAUUUAGGAAAUCGUUUUCUUAAAAUUUUGAUAUAUAAUAUGCCUAUGUACAAUUUCGUUUUUAUUUUCGUUAUUCAGUUUUUGCUUUUCUGUUUCUAUUGAAAAAACAAAAACUGCGCGUGCGCCUAGAACUAACUAUCGCCCACAUGCGCAGCAUAGUGGCAUCGGGCGUCCCAACAUUUUUUUUCUCUCCUACAUGGGCCAGGCCCAGCCAGCCAUUUUAUUUUCUUUUUUUUCCCACUUUGGCAGGAUUUUGUUUAAAAAAAACUACUCGGCCGGCCGAACACUUUUAGGCCCAUGUGAGCGCCUCUCUUUUCGCCUCUAUUUCUUUUCUUUUCGUCUACGUUUAGUCCCACAUUGCCUAGCCUUUGACCCCUAAGCCUCUCUUCCACCUAUAAAUAUAGAACCAUAGAACCUCAAAAAUCAUCCACUAUGGGUUAAGUCAAUAUUUUGGUUUGACUAGCUUCACAAAAGAAAAAUAUAUUUCUUCUCUCCGAUGGGACUUCUGGAAGUUGUCUCCUCUCUCCGAAGUUGUUAUUUCUCUAUCUUAUAAAGGUAUCUUUCUUCGUAUUUUUUACACUCCCAUAGCUUAUUAUUUUUAGACUAGUGUAUGGUAGAAUAAUUAGAUUUAUAAAUUAGUCCAUGUAUUUACAUUUUAAUACUAGAAUUCUUUUAGCCAUAGCUCUUUUUCUUCCGUAAAACAGCUUGACCCUGAUUUUUCAAAUAGCCAUAACUUUUUACUCGUUCAUCCAAGUUAGACGAAACCAACGCUAAUAUUUUCGUCUUGAUUCCACCUAUCUAGUGAAUCUAUCAAAUAAACUUUUUAACUUUAAAAUUUUGAAAUUUUUUCAGAUUCAUACUCAAAUUUCGUUCGAUCAUAUCUUUUUAUCCGUACCUCCAUUUUCGAUGAAGCCAACUGCAUCGGAUUCGUAAAUCUUUCGGUUUGCACAAUUUGUGUCAUCUUUCCAACAUAUAAUUUUGAUCUUAGCCAGUUACUCUACUAGUCCACCAAAGAGUUGUUACACAACAUUCUAAGCAGAUUCAAUGCUAUGUUGAAUUACUUGAUCCGUUAUUUUCAAUCUAGUAAUUCUUUUUCCUACAUUUUCAUAUUGACUUCCUACAUCCAGUAGCAUCAUUAGUUUCAACUUUUGAUCCUUUAAAAUUUGAACUCGAAGCUUCACUUGAUCAUACCUUGUAAACUAUAGCGCUUUUUAAUUGAUUCCCUUUUUCAAAUUGUAUCCCUAGGCAUAAUCUAACAUCUUGAGCCAUCACCACACUUUUUCACCGAAAUUAGGAUCUGAUCUUGCAAAAUAAUUUGAUUUGGUUCUUUUGGAGUUUUUGCAAUAUUUCUUUGCAUUUUUUGGGUGUUUGAGUGAUUUCUUAUGUGUGGAUAAAAUUGCUUACUUACGUUAGAUUGAUCGGAGUGUGACGAGUAGAACUAUCUGGAAUUAUGAGUGCGAAGAAUCUUCAUCAACAGUACAAGGCAAGUUCACACUUUGAUCAUACUUUUCAAUACCCAGUUUUUACUAUGCACUAGUUUGAGUAGGAUUGGGAACAUGUGGCCUUGCUAUGUAGUUCAUGAGGUAGGAACCUAUGAUCUUUGAAACACCUUGGGAAUAUUCGUUGUGUCAUAUGUUGCUUAGCCAUGCUCGUAGAUGGGGAUUGGUAUGUGAGAUUCAUGCAAGUUAUGAGAGAAAUAAUAAUUAAGGGAAAAAUUUAAGGUGGCAACAUUAACACACAUCUGGGUGAAUGGUUGGAGCACCCUAGAGAAACCAGUGGCUUGCCUGGGCACCUGGAGAAACCAGUGUUUGCCCUAGGGGAUCCCGGAGGACCCGUGUGAUCACCCUACAGAAUGCCACCCAGGCUCAAAGGGAUCAUAUGAUAUUUCAUGCCCAGAAACUUCCAUGUGCAGCCACAAGCCAUUAUGGGCUCUGGCAUAGAGUAAGUUGUGGGAAACCUUUCCAUGAUAGGCUAGCAGAUGCAGGGGGAUUGUAGGUGUACCGACCUAUAUAUCGGUUAAGGGGACCUCUUCGAAAAGACUAUGUCUCGAUCAUCCGCUUAUCAAACAACAAGCAGUGCGAGGAAUUCAACGGAGGAGAUCGAGUCUUGUGGGGAAAAGUGCGCAAACCUCUACAGAGUGUACAAACUAAUCAUGAUUAGCCGUGUCCCCUGUUAUGGAUAAUUUUAGUAUCUAGAAGUGAAUUAUUUGUUGAUCUCAUCACUCUAUUUAACUAAUGUAUUGGGUUAUUAAUAAUUUGGGAAUUUUUGGGAUUGAGUUGGAGGAACCUUCUCAAUAAUGGAAUAAACUUGGUAGUGAAUAAAACAUUUAUUCCUUUGUUGUAGGGAAAAAAUUAGCUUUAUGCAAAAUUAAACUUAGAGCCUCCACCAGCCAAAUAUGCAUGUAAUGAUAGAUAUUGUUCAUCAUUAUUCCGUGAUGUGAAUUUGCCAGUACAUUCAACGUACUAACCUACACGGCUUCAAUGUCUCAUGUUGCAGGAAUUAUUCGACGAGUAAGUGAUAUGUUAGGGUUGCGAUGACUACACUCAACUUUGUUGUUGGUGUUGUUGGGACUCCACAACCUUGUUGUUACUUUCACUAUAUUGUUUGAGGUAAUAGUAUUUACAUUAUUUUAUACAUGUGAUUUACCUCUGUUAUAAAUCCUCGAGUACUGUGUGUGUCAGCAUACCAAUCCAGCGAUGAAACUUAAGAACAGAGACUUUGAUCCAUUCGGGUCGAGUCGCUACAAGACACCAUCUUCAAGAAAGCCAAUACUCGCAUCCGCCACUGUUCUUCUCUCCCAACGAAGGGAAGGUAAGCGGAUCCAUGAUGUUGGUAUAUUUUCGUUUAAAAAAAAUAAAAAAACUUUUGCAAAGCAGUAAGCGAUCCUCACUCCCCUUUUUGUUUCAUUGUCAUUGAGAUCGUGUUUUCCUUUCAGUGCUCUCUUAGUAUUCAUCAGUUUCAUGAUGGACCAAGGAGAACCAGGCAAAGAUCUGCCGAUGUUGGACCAGACGCGGGAGGUUGAUCCCCACGAGACAGAGAGCUCCAAGAAGAUGGAGGCAGCCAUCGAGCCGACCCCAAAUAUGCUCAUGGCCACUACUAAGAUGGUCAAUGCCCCGUUUGAGGUUACAACCCCCAUGGCCCUGCAGGAGCAGUUUCCCCCCUUCAAGGAUGUGCCCCCCCCCCCGCUGAGCUGCCCAAGGUGAUUUUCUUCUUUUCCAAUCUCAAUUGUGGUUUUUCAUCUAAGUAUGUGGUGAUAAAUAAUGCAAAAAAUUUAUUAGCUUCGAUGCCAUGCUACCUUCCCUGUCAUGCAUACUUUUGACUCUAGAUAGUGGUUUAAAUAACUUGUGUUUCUUAUAUUGGAAAGUAAUUCAAAAUUUGUUUUUGUUUCAAUUAGAGCCCUAAUGUAGACAAGGAUUAUGUGGUUGUACAUGUCACUCGCUAUGAGGCGGAUGACCUGAAUAUACGCACUGGGAAAACAUCGUUCUUAGGCUAUUGGAUCCUAGAAGCCAUUUGCACUUAUACCAAUGUCGAGAUGUAUUCCAGCCUCACUGUUGUCAGGCGUGUUAUCUAGGGUGUACUGAAGCACAAGAAGUUCAAAGUUGCUCCUUCGUUUGUGAGGCAUACUGUUCUUGUCAAGCUUACGCAGGAAGAUGACAUGGCAUGACUCCACAAACAAGUUUAUGAGUUGCAAGGCCACAAGGUUAUCUUCAGGAAGGUUCACAGGAUUGAGCUGCUGUCGGACGUCCUCGAUGAUGUUCAUGGCAAGGUCUGUCCUGUGUCCAUCCCAAAUUAGACCGAGGAAUGAAAUAGUUGCCCCAACUAGUGUUUAAUAGUAGUUUGGAUUGUGUCUAAUUAUCCGAACCUUGCCUAUUAUCGAGCCCUAUGGGGCUAGUACUCUGUUUAAAUCCAUCUAUGGGAACUGCUGCUACUUUUGUGUGCGUGUGAAACAUGUGAGAACCAUCCUAAUUGUUGCCGAAACAGAUGCGUCAUCACUAGUUUUUUCAUGAAUAUGGCAUGGUAAGACAUAAGUUGUCACGGUUUAUCAUAUGAGUAGUGUGUGUUUGAUGAAAUAGAGUACUCGUUUGAGAACUAUGCACCGACGUAUACAUAGGGUAUGUAAGGCUGGUUAAGUACUUGUAAACACUGUUGGUGCUACCCACUUGUAAGCAGUUGUGCAAAUCACGGCACAUUGGCUCAGCUUGCUUCAACACUAGAAAAGUCAGCUAUCGACCGACUAACAAUCAAUAAUCUGUUGUCUGACAUAUAAGCAACUACGUAUCUUGUUACAGUGGUUCAUGCAGUUAACUGAGGCCACACCGUAAAUUCCAAACGUUCACAUGCUAGUCCAGCAUUCAUGUGGAACAUUCACAUUAAACUCGGCUCCAUAAAAUACUUGAAAAGCAUAAGUUAAGCAAUUUUAUACAUCUCAAUGAUUCAUAUAACAUAACAAACAUAUACUAGUUCACAUCAAAAGACAAAGUUGUGAGAAGGUUUACAAAUCAGGAAAAAUCAAGCAAGGUUUCUCUAAGCAAAGGGCCUCCCUAGGCAGGCUUUAAUUUCUUGGAGUUCACUCUGAUUUUUCUUGUUGCCACCAUCCAGGGUUAGGUUCUCUCAUUCCAGAAUAACCAAUUAUAACUAUGUUCUCCGUUGGAAUGCUGAACCGAACCAUGUAGUGUACUGACCAUCUGAACUUCUUGUGCAGUUCCACUAAAUUCAAGCACCGCUAUUUGCAGAAAUAAGUAGAACACAAUGCCUCUUGUACACUCAUCUAUCCCAAAAACCUCUGUGCAACCAUGCCAGCUAGUUCUUGGUCCAUGGAUGAACUGGGAGAAAGUGCAUUCCUGACUAGGAUGCAGUUGUUUUCGCUCGUCCCUGCACUGCAAUCAGAAAGUAAAAUGUACGAAUCAACUUCUUUUAGAUUGCGUUGGUCAUUCUACCUAGUUACUACCAAUGUAGGAAUACCUGGAAUAUGGGUGGUUAGGCGAUGACAGCUAGGAAUAGCCAUCUCAUUUUGUGCAGUUCUACUAAAACUGAGGUGUGUACUUUUGAUUGCGCAAAUAGAAACGAUAUGGAGACAUACAUCCCUGUUUGCGCCAAUAUGAAAUAUGGUUAUUUCAAGAGUGAAAGUUAUCUGCAGUGGCAUAUGAUUAACAACAGCAUCUAUUGUGUUAUAAUUGGCACUACAUUGACAGUAUGAAAGUGCCCUUAAGUAAGUAGCAUCACAUCACAUCAACACUGCCACUAGAUUAACAUGCAGAACAAUAGCAUUAGUAUUACUGUCACGAGAAUAGCACAUGGUCAGUAAAUGUAUAAUCAAAUUUGUGCAGUUCCACUGGGAUGAAGCAAUGUUAGUGGUGUGAGAUUUAAGUGUAUCUGCAAAAACACAAUUCAUGGGAAAUAAAGCAAGACGGAAGCCCUUCAUAAAAUGCUGGUGGCAUUGCUUCAAUUUAUCGACGGCACUAGACCAUUACUUAAUAGUGGCAUUAGGUGGCAUUGCUUCAAUUUAUCGACGACACUAGACCAUUAAUAGUGACAUUAGGUGGCAUUGCUUAAUGCUUCGUGUGAUUUUAUAUUAAUGGUAGCGAUAUGGUCAUAGGGACAGCAGGGGCAUAAAGUGGUGAGGCAGAUGUGGUUGCCAAGAGCAGAAAACACUUAGGCAGCAUGUAUGCAUUUGUCCCACUUUUUAUCUCCUCGGUGACAUUUUCCUAUGUGAACACAUGAAAUCUAGACCUGCUCAUUCUCAUUUGCGUUGUCCCCCCCAACACCCUCAUUUUCUUUCCUUUUUAUACCAAGAGAUAGGUCCACUUCCCCCCACCCUUCGCCAUCCACCAUGCUUUCUUCGCCUUUUCAGCCAAGAGACCGGUUGGGUAGCCAGUAUCUACUACUUUCCCCUGUUUCCUAUUAGAACCAAGUCCUAGAUUCAUGCUAUAGCUUUCCCACUUUCUUCCCUAUUUGAACCAACUCUUAGAUUCGACUGUAUGAACUAGCUUUACCUCUAAUAAUAGUAAAAGUCUAGGUGGAUUUGGAAUAACCGAUAGAAGUAUAAAAAGAUCCACACACAACCACGUGGGGAGCUGGGGCAGUAGAGCAAGGUAGGUUUCGAAGGAAUAUAUACCUGAGGGUCAUCGCCAUGUGGCAAAGACAGCAUCGGAGGCCGCAUCUUGGCCACAAUACCGCAGGGAGGAAGAAGGGGUCGGAGGCCCUCCCGAGUCGGCGCUGUCUCGAAGAGAAUGACACGACCGCCAAUCGGGACGCGCAGGCAGCUGUUGGUCUCCUCCCUUGCCACUAACGACCGUGUGAAUGAUGCACCUACAUCCCUGUCCAGGUCGAGGUAGUCCGGCCAGAUUUGUGACCAGUCAUGAGCAGAAAGAGAGUGUGGCCACCUAUGUCUUGCUUAGAUCUGGAGAGCAUGAGAGAGUGAAAGAGAGGAACCCUAGUAAAGCAAGCGCCAAGGCUCCUGCUUAUAUAUAUAGUGGAGUGAUUUUUUGUAUGAGCCGUUAUUAAAUUGAAUAUGUAUGAACCACUAUUUUCAUUUAAAGUUCAAGUAAAGUUAAAACUCGAUCAAUAACUUGCCACCACGUCCAGGACGCACAAUACUGUAUCAUUCACGUGCGGUCCCCGACCCUCCAUCAAGUUGAAAACUAGACUAGUCAAAAUGUCAAUUGAGAUGCCUCUUUGUAAACAAAUGCGCUCCUAAAUUAAAAAAAACGCGCUCCUACGUGUACCCACAAGUGGGUGGGUGUGACUGCCUGGAUUUGCCUUCUCUCUUUUUUCGGACUUUCAUUUGCAUUUGCUUUGGAUUUGGAGUUUUGAAUCAAUUCAAAUGGACUUGACACUUGGGCCUACCCUUGAUUUUCACACAAGUGACCCAUCCACCCCUAGCUCAUCUUUCCUUCUCUGAAUAACUCCAACAAAAGCCCAAGGAAUAUUUUUCAUAAAAGAAAAAUAUUCAUUUUCUUCCUUGAAAAUCACUUCAGAGCAGUAUGCUCCAAAGCAACUCCUAGUUUUAUUGCUCCUAAAAUACUGAAUAAAUUCACAAAUAUUCUUUGAACCCUAGGGCACCUCCCUGAGCAAAAAUAUUGCAUAAGGUUUUGGAAUAUUUAUGCUACAAAAAAUCAUUUCUCUUCUAGACAGAAUGACCACACUACACAACAAGUAUAUUUUUCCUUGAUCUUUUGGGGCUGAUCUUUUUUGAGCUUCAUUACCUUCCUAAGAGAAUGCUAAACCCCAAAGCACAACCCUUAAUUCUCACUAGAUUUUUCUCAGAUAAGCUCACAAGUUUCUGUCCAGAAACUUGCCUGGAAGAAACCCACUCACACAGUUCACCUAUGACCCAGCCAACCAUGCAAAACGACCAAAACCACUAAGGACUCCAGACAUGGUGUUUGUGCUUAGCUCAACUUGAUGCCAAAGUUCACGCGGUGACUGCGUUCGUCCAGAGGGGUUGGCAUGCAGCCGACGCGCUCUGCGACGCGCCAGCGUCUCUAUGGCGCACAUGCUCGCUGUCCCGGCUGUCGCACCUUGCCAAACCAUGCCCCCAUCUUCAUCAACACCUUCUUAACCCCGCCUGGCACUCCCCAACGCCGGAGAUCGCCGCAGCGAACACAGGCAUGGGGCGGACAGUGCACCCGUGCCACCGUGCUCGUCCCGUACCGCGCUCCUGUGCUUGUUGUUGCUCGCCUAUAUUCCCCGCGUGAUCUCUAACGCCUUCUUCCCCUCUGACUGACGCCAUUCGUCGCCGGACGCCACUCCAGAGAGCUCCGGCGAGCUCUCGAUCCCCGCCUCGGCCUCGCCUAUAAAGAGAGCCAUCCCGAGCCCAUUUCUCCUCACAAACGCACUCACACCAUCACCACGACGCCGUAGGUAGCCGCAGCCCGGCUAGGCAGGCCUCUGGCCGCCGUUCCCGUCCCGAGCUCGCCGGCGAUCCCUGUCCACUGCCCCUCCCUCUCCAGAGCCGCUCGAGCUCCACUAACUUCUCCGGGGUGUCUGUGGUGGUUCAUUCGUGCAUGCUGGUGCUGUUGGAGCUGCUCGACUGGCCCUGCCUCGCCGGAAUCACCAUCUCCGACGAGCUCCACCCGCCGCUGCCGCUGGAAAGCUUCGUUCCGACCCUAUCCGGCCACCCCUAGCCAUGCUAUGGGUAUGGGCAAGUGCGCUUCAAUCUCCUCUCCACUCCUAUCCUCUCAGAUCUCGUCGCCAGACACUUCUCGCCUGAGAAAGCGCCACCACCGCGCUGCCCGCCUCUGCUUCUCUGCCCUCCCCUCCGACCUGACCGCUGGGGCCCGCUGUCAGCCACUCAGGCCACACUCGGAGCGGUAUAAGUGGUGGUGCCCCGUGAUACGUCUCCGUCGUAUCUAUAAUUUUUGAUUGUUCCAUGCCAAUAUUUUACAACUAUUACAUACUUUUGGCAACUUUUUAUACUAUUUUUGGGACUAACAAUUGAUCCAGUGCCCAGUGCCAGUUCCUGUUUGUUGCAUGUUUUUGUUUCGCAGAAAACCAAUAUCAAACGGAGUCCAAACGGAAUAAAAACGGAACGAUUUUUUUUGGAAUAUUUAUGAAUUUAGGGAAGAAGAAUCAAUGCGAGACGAUGCUUGAGUGUCCCAUGAGGCAGGGGGGCACGCCCCAGGGGGGUGGGCGCGCCCCUGACCCUCGUGGCCACUCCGUAAGGCAGUUGUUGCCCUUCUUUCGCCGCAAGAAAGCCAAUAUUCGGAUAGAAAUCUUGUCCAAAGGGCAAACCAAUCGGAGUUACGAAUCUCUGGGAAUAUAAAAAACGGUGAAAGAGCAGAAUCGGGAACACGGAAACAGAGAGACAAAUCCAAUCUCGGAGGGGCUCUCGCCCCUCCCACGCCAUGGACACCAUGGACCAGAGGGGAAACCCUUCUCCCAUCUAGGGAGAAGGUCAAGGAAGAAGAAUAAGAAGGGGGGCUCUCUCCCCCUCGCUUCCGGUGGCGCCAAAACACCGUCGGGGGCCAUCAUCGUCACCGUGAUCUACACCAACACCGCCGUCAUCUUCACCAACAUAUCCAUCAUCUUCCCCCAUCUAUAUUCAGCGGUCCACUCUCCCGCAACCCACUGUACCAUAUGAUGUGUUGCCAUCCUAUGAUGUCUGAGUAGAUUUUCGUUGUCCCAUCGGUGAUUGACGAAUUGCUAUGAUUGGUUUAAUUUGCUUGUGGUUAUGUUGCUGUCCUAUUGUGCCCUCCGUGUCGCGCAAGCGUGAGGGAUUCCCGCUGUAGGGUGUUGCAAUACGUUCAUGAUUCGCUUAUAGUGGGUUGCUUGAGUGACAGAAGCAUAAACCCGAGUAAGGGGGUUGUGGCGUAUGGGAUAAAGGGGACUUGAUGCUUUAAUGCUAUGGUUGGAUUUGACCUUAAUGAUCUUUAGUAGUUGUGGAUGCUUGCUAGAGUUCCAAUCAUAAGUGCAUAUGAUCCAAGAAGAGAACAUAUGUUAUCUUAUGCCUCUCCCACAUAAAACUUGCUAUCGGUCUAGUAAAGUAGUCAAUUACUUACGGACAAUUUCACAACUCCUAUCACCACUUUUCCACACUCGUUAUACUAACUUUAUUGCUUCUUUAUCUAAACAACCCCUACUUUUUAUUUAUGUGCUCUUUAUUAUCUUGCAAUUCUAUCCAAGAACACCUACAAAGUACUUCUAGUUUCAUACUUGUUCUAGGUAAAGCGAACAUCAAGCGUGCAUAGAGUUGUAUCGGUGGUCGAUAGAACUUGAGGGAAUAUUUGUUCUACCUUUAGCUCCUCGUUGGGUUCAACACUCUUACUUAUCGAAAGAGGCUACAAUUGAUCCCCUAUACUUGUGGGUUAUCAAGACCUUUUUCUGGCGUCGUUGCCGGGGAGUCAUAGCGUGGGAUGAAUAUUCUCGUGUGUGCUUGUUUGCUUUAUCACUAAGUAAUUUUUAUUUGUUUUUCUAAGUUGUUCUCUAUCUUUAGUUAUGGAUAUGGAACAUGAAAUACAAAAAAAUUAGGUGUAGUUGCUACUCAUGGAGAUGGGGAACCUCCUAAAACCCUCGAUGCUGGUUAUGUGAAAAACAUUAUGUACUACUUUGAUAAUCCUGAGAAAACCCCAUUCAAUUAUGUUAUGGGAGACAUGUUGGAUCAACGUGAAUACUUUAGGGAUUAUCGCUUGACAGAAAAAGGGAAACUAUUAUGGGAUCAAAUUCAUAUGUUGCAUUGGUAUGCUCGUCAACUAUGCUUGAGAUAUGAUUAUACUUGUUGCUCUAGGAUGAAGGCUCCACACCUUCCCUUUUCAUGCAAAUUUAAUGAUAAUGAAACCUUAGCUUCUUAUGCUAAUGGUAUAUAUGAUUACUAUGAUGUGGAACAAAUAGAAGAAUUCAUUUCUUUUGUGGGUGCUUAUGAAAUUGAAUCUCUGUUUAAAGAGUGUGAAAAUCUUGAUGAUGUUGUUUACAGACCUGAAAAUUUUGCUAUACUUAAAUAUUGUUAUGAGAAUUAUGAAUACAAUGCCGAUAUUGAUGCGUUUAUUGAUAAAGUCUCCGAUGUCCAAGAAGAGACUAAUAUUUUGCAGGAGUCUAUGGAAGAAGAAAUCGAUGAAACUGUGAGCUCAUUAGAUGAAAAAGAUGAUGAGGAGAGAGAAGAGCAAAAGGAGGAAGAGCGGAUUAGCUACCCGUCCCACCUUCUAAUGAGAUAACUCUUCAACUCAUACAUUAUUUAAUUCCCCUUCGUGCUUAUCGAAGGAUGAUUGCUAUGAUGAUUGUUAUGAUCCUGUUGAUUCUCUUGAAAUACCCCUUUUUGAUGAUGCUUGCUAUGCUUGUGGCCAAGAUGCCAAUAUGAAUUAUGCUUAUGGAGAUGAACUUGCUAUAGUUCCUUAUGUUAAACAUGAAAUUAUUGCUAUUGCACCCAUGCAUGAUAGUCCAAUUAUCUUUUUGAAUUCUCCCUACUACACUAAAUCAGAGAAGUUUGCCCUUAUUAAGGAUUAUAUUGAUGGGUUGUGUUUUACUACUACACAUGAUGAUUUUGAUAGAUAUAAUAUGCACGUGCUUGCUGCUCCUACUUGCAAUUAUUAUGAGAGAGGAACUAUAUCUCCACCUCUCUAUGUUUCCAAUAUGAUAAAAUUGCAAGAAACUGCUUAUACUAUGCAUUGGCCUUUACUUGGUGUGCAUGAAUUGUUCUUUUAUGACAUGCCGAUGCAUAGGAAGAGAGUUAGACUUUGUUAUUGCAUGAUAAAUGUUACUUUGUGCUCACUACUAAAUUACAAAUCAUUGUUAAUUAAAAUUGGCUUUGAUAUACCUUGGGAUCCAGGUGGAUCCAUUACUUGAGCACUAUAUGCCUAGCUUAAUGGUUUUAAAGAAAGCGCUGCCAGGGAGACAACCCGGAAGUUUUAGAGAGUCAUUUAUUUCUGUUGAGUGCUUUUAUAUAGUUUAAAAACAAAAAAAUAAAUAAAGAGGGGAACCCAAAACUUUUCAAAAAGGAAAGUGAAAGUGAGAAAGACAAGCAUUGUUGAAGUGGGGGAGCUCCUUGAACUUUGUUCAUGCUCAAGGAAACUUUGUGAAUCUUGAUUACAGAAACUUUUCAACAAAUAUAAUUAUCCCCUUGUACAAUUCUAUUGUAUUAUAAAAAUAAUGUGCCAAGGUGUGCCUUUAGGAUGUUUACAAUGCUUGUUGGUUUGUGCGGUGCAGGACAGAAACUUUGGCUGUAGUGCGCGAUUUUACAUGUUUUACUGGAACGUCAAACGGUUCUGAUUCUUUUUGCACUGUCUUUCUAUACAAAUUUUUUAUUUUUCCUAAUUUUGGCAGAAUUGUUGGGGUAACAGAAGUAUGGUGAAUGUUCAGGUUUCUACCGACUGUUCUGUUUUUGAUGCAUAGUUUGCUUGUUUUGAUGAAACUAUCAAUUUCUAUCAGUGGAUUAAGCCAUGGAAAAGUUAUAUUAUAGUAGACACAAUGCAAAAAUAAAAUAUUAAUUGGUUUUCAACAGUACUUAGAGUAGUGAUUUGCUUUAUUAUACUAACGGAUCUUACCGAGUUUGUUGUUGAAGUUUUGUGUGGAUGAAGUGUUCGAAGAUCGAGGAGGUCUCGAUAUGAGGAAAAGGAGGAGCGCAAGAGCUCAAGCUUGGGGAUUACCAAGGAAACCCAAGUAAAUAUUCAAGGACACUCAAGCGUCUAAGCUUGGGGAUGCCCCGAAAGGCAUCCCCUCCUUCGUCAACAAGUAUCGAUAUGUUUUCGGAUUCGUUUCAUUCAUGUGAUAUGUGCAAAUCUUGGAGCAUCUUUUGCAUUUAGUUUUCACUUUUCUUUUAUGCACCAUCCUGGUAUGAGAUAGUCCAUGGUUGAUUUAUAGAAUGCUCAUCGCACUUCACUUAAAUCUUUUUGAGUAUGGCUUUAUAAAAUGCUUCAUGUGCUUCACUUAUAUCAUUUGAAGUUUGGAUUGCAUGUUUAUCUUCAUAUAGAAAACUGCCAUUUGUAGAAUGCUCUCUUGCUUCACUUAUAUCUAUUUAGAGAGAUGACAGGAAUUGGUCAUUCACAUGGUAAGUCAUAAAAUCCUAUAUAAAACUUGUAGAUCACUGAAUAUGAUAUGUUUGAUUCCUUGCAAUAGUUUUGCGAUAUAGAGAUGAUAAUAUGUGGGAGGUACUAGUAGAUGGUUGUGUUUGGUAAGGAUAUUGGUGUUAAGGUUUGUGAUUCCCGAAGCAUGCACGUAUGGUCUCCUAACUAUGUAACUAAAUUGGCGCGCACUGUAUUUUGAUUGUUUAUCUUUGCGUGAAGGUCGGGGGCGUGCUAUGGUUAACUCCUACCAACCUCCCCCCUAGGAGCAUGCAUAGUAGUACUUUGCUUCGAGGGCUAAUAAACUUUUGCAAUAAGUAUAUGAGUUCUUUAUGACUAAUGUGAGUCCAUGGAUUAUACGCACUCUUACCUUUCCGCAAUUUGUUAGCCUCUACGGUACCGUGCAUUGCCCUUUCUCACCUCGAGAGUUGGUGCAAACUUUGCCGGUGCAUCCAAACCCCAUGAUAUGAUACGCUCUAUCACACAUAAGCCUCCUUAUAUAUUCCUCAAAACAGCCACCAUACCUACCUAUUAUGGCAUUUCCAUAGCCAUUCCGAGAUAUAUUGCCAUGCAACUUCCAUCAUCAUCAUAUACAUGACUUGAGCAUUCAUUGUCAUAUUGCUUUGCAUGAUCGUAAGAUAGCUAGCAUGAUGUUUUCAUGGCUUGUCCUUUUUUGAUGUCAUUGCUAUGCUAGAUCAUCACACAUCUCGGUACACCGCCGGAGGCAUUCAUAUAGAGUCAUAUUUUUGUUCUAAUAUCGAGUUGUAAGUAAAUAAAAGUGUGAUGAUCAUCAUUAUUAGAGCAUUGCCCCAUGUGGAAAAAAUAGUCCAAAGAAUCCUAAAUAAAAAAGGGGGCCAAAGAAGCCCGCCAAAAAAAGAAAAAAGAACAAAAAGAAAGGGGCAAUGUUACUAUCCUUUUACCACACUUGUGCUUCAAAGUAUCACCAUGUUCUUCAUAUAGAGAGUCUCCUAUAUUGUCACUUUCAUAUAAUAGUGGGAAUUUUCAUUAUAGAACUUGGCUUGUAUAUUCCGAUGAUGGGCUUCCUCAAAUGCCCGAGGUCUUCAUGAGCAAGCAAGUUGGAUGCACACCCACUUAGUUUCAGUUUGAGCUUUCAUACACUUAUAGCUCUAGUGCAUCCGUUGCAUGGAAAUACCUACUCCUCGCAUUGACAUCAAUUGAUGGGCAUCUCCAUAGCCCAUUGAUUAGCCGCGUCGAUGUGAGACUUUCUCCCUUUUUGUCUUCUCCACACAACCUCCACCAUCAUACUCUAUUCCACCUAUAGUGCUAUAUCCAUGGCUUGCGCUCAUGUAUUGUGUGAGGGUUGAAAAAGCUGAAGCGCGUUAAAAAGUAUGAACCAAUUGCUUGGAUGACACCAGGAUGAGCAUGAGGGGUACCUCCAGUUAAGAAAAGGGAGCAUACAAGACUAUAUGAUUUUGUAGGGAUAACAUUCUGAAGCAUUGAUAUUCUGAAAGACAUGAUUGUUUGUUGGGAUGCCCGAAGUAUUAUUGUUUUUAUGUCAAAUGAUAGACUAUUGUCUUGAAUCACUUGUGUCUUAAUAUUCAUGCCAUGAUUAGAUUACAUGAUCAAGAUUAUGCUAGGUAGAAUUCCACAUCAAAAAUUAUCUUUUUUAUCAUUUACCUACUCGAGGACGAGCAGGAAUUAAGCUUGGGGGUGCUGAUACGUCUCCGUCGUAUCUAUAAUUUUUGAUUGUUCCAUGCCAAUAUUCUACAACUAUUACAUACUUUUGGCAACUUUUUAUACUAUUUUUGGGACUAACAUAUUGAUCCAGUGCCCAGUGCUAGUUCCCGUUUGUUGCAUGUUUUUUGUUUCGCAGAAAACUAAUAUCAAACGGAGUCCAAAUGGAACAAAAAUGUACGGAGAUUUUUUUGGAAUAUUUAUGAAUUUUGGGAAGAAGAAUCAACACGAGACGAUGCUCAAGUGGCCCACGAGGUAGGGGCGCGCGCCCCAGGGGGGUGGGCACGCCCCUGACCCUCGUGGCCACUCUGUAAGGCGGUUGGUGCCCUUCUUUCUCCACAGGAAAGUCAAUAUCCGGAUAGAAAUCGUAUCCAAAGGGCAACCCAAUCGGAGUUACGGAUCUCCGGGAAUAUAAAAAAUGGUGAAAGGGCAGAAUUAGGAACGCAGAAACAGAGAGAGACAGAGAGAUAGAUCCAAUCUCGGAGGGGCUCUCACCCCUCCUACGCCAUGGAGACCAUGGACUAGAGGGGAAACCCUUCUCCCAUCUAGGGAGAAGGUCAAGGAAGAAGAAUAAUAAGAAGGGGGGCUCUCUCCCCCUCGCUUCCAAUGGCGCCGGAACGCUGCCGGGUGCCAUCAUCAUCACCGCGAUCUACACCAACACCGUCGCCAUCUUUACCAACAUCUCCAUCAUCUUCCCCCAUCUAUAUCCAGCGGUCCACUCUCCCGAAACCCGCUGUACCCUCUACUUGAACAUGGUGCUUUAUGCUUCAUAUAAUUAUAAUGAUGUGUUACCAUCCUAUGAUGUCUGAGUAGAUUUUCAUUGUCCUAUCAGUGAUUGAUGAAUUGCUAUGAUUGGUUUAAUUUGCUUGUGGUUAUGUUGCUGUCCUAUAGUGCCCUCCGUGUCACGCAAGCGUGAGGGAUUCCCUCUGUAGGGUGUUGCAAUACGUUUAUGAUUCGCUUAUAGUGGGUUGCUUGAGUGACAGAAGCAUAAACCCGAGUAAGGGGGUUGUGGUGUAUGGGAUAAAGGGGACUUGAUGCUUUAAUGCUAUGGUUGGGUUUUACCUUAAUGAUCUUUAGUAGUUGCGGAUGCUUGAUAGAGUUCCAACCAUAAGUGCAUAUGAUCCAAGAAGAGAAAGUAUGUUAGCUUAUGCCUCUCCCACAUAAAACUUGCUAUCGGUCUAGUAAAGUAGUCAAUUGCUUAGGGACAAUUUCACAACUCCUACCACCACUUUUCCACACUCGUUAUACUAACUUUAUUGCUUCUUUAUCUAAACAUCCCCUACUUUUUAUUUAUGUGCUCUUUAUUAUCUUGCAAUUCUAUCCAACAACACUUACAAAGUACUUCUAGUUUCAUACUUGUUCUAUGUAAAACGAACGUCAAGCGUGCGUAGAUUUGUAUCGGUGGUCGAUAGAACUUGAGGGAAUAUUUGUUCUACCUUUAGCUCCUCGUUGGGUUCGACACUCUUACUUAUCGAAAGAGGCUACAAUUGAUCACCUAUACUUGUGGGUUAUCAUCCUGCUGGCUUACGCCUUUGACGUCACCCCCCAAGUUUUUCUUUUCCUUUUUCUACUUCAGAAUAAAACAGAAACUUUGAAAUGCAAUAACUUUUAUUCUACAAGUCCAAAUGAGUUGAUUCUUUUUGCAUUAUGUUCUUACUGGAAAAAUCCUAGUAGCACACCCAAGAUGAGAUUUUUCUCUGCUGUCUAGAAUUUCUGGUAAUUUUCAGAAGUGUUCUUGUUAUUUUCUGUUUGUCAUUUGAAUUAUUUUCAGAAGGUGAAGCUUGUCUUGAAGGCAUCCAGGAGGAGUGCGAAGCUCCUCUGCACUAAGGCAAGCCACACCAACAUUUUCAUGGUGUCUUUGCAAUAGCCAUGAUUUUCCACUUGAAUAUAUAUGAUAUUCAUUGCGUAUAGUAUUAAAAUGAAUAAUGCUUGUGUUAUUUAGUUUGUCAUGGUCAAGAUGCUUAGUUAACAGAAAUGAAUGUUUGAACUAGUGAGAUAUAGCAUGAGUAGUUGGACUAAGUGAGUUUGUCAUGACUAUGGUAAUAUGAUAAUCGGUAUUAUUUUUCUUAUAUGCAUGAUGAGUUUCGUAUGAUAAAUGCCAACUAAAAAAAUGAUGAGUAUAAAUGACUAGUAAGUAAGGACCAGAAAUGUUGAAAGAUGAGUUGUUCAAGUAGAACUUUGAAUGAUGUUGAUCUGUUGUUUCUAAGGGAUAUGUGAUGCAUGUUACAUGGUUGCAUAAGCAUGGCAUAUAGUGACUCGAGCAUUUUAUUUCAAGUUAAACCUGAUGAUAAUUGAACUUGAACAUAAAGUUGGUCGGGUCAUGGUGCCACUGAAUUGGGUUGACAAGUGCAACCACAUUUGCCUUAGUAUGGGGAGGCCGUUAGUCGACCUGUUGUCAUGCCUCUUGUCGAUGCCUCCAACUAGGGAAGGUUAUGGGCAUGCAUUACCCUGGACCGGUAAGCAGACAUGACCUUGUGAGCCCGUUGUUGUUAUGGUACCUUGUCCCCGUUUGGGACCAUUUAUUUGCCAUGACGGUGGCCGUUUUGCCUUUGGUAGGCUGGGGCCACCCAUGACUUAGCCUAGUGGGGAGUUGGUCGGAGUGGCCGAAAGAGUGUCAUGGCAAUGGGAGAGUUCUGUCGGAAUGCCGUUGGUCCACCCGAAUGGGAGUGUGAGGCCAUGGGUUCCAUGGUGUGGGUAAAGUGCGCUACCUCUGCAGAGUGUAUUAAUCUAUAGAUAGCUGCGCCUGCAGAUAAGGGCCCAGUUCGUAAGUAAGUCACACCAUGGAUCAACUUUUGUAAAUAAAACUUGCACACUAAGUUAUUUGCAUUGCACUGGUUGAAUCAUGAUGAUGUUAGUAAGACUGGCUGGUGUGGUAUCGUUUGUGAUCCGUGGGUGAUCACCGUUUGGUUACAAUGUAACCCAUUGAACCGAGUAUGGUUCCAUUUGUGGUCCGUUAUGAUCACCGCUUGGUUGCGAGGCAACCCGUUGGUAAGAGAGUCCGAGGGACUUAGUGCACAAGUUUGGUUUCACUGCAUGAGUAGCAGGUUGCUGGUUGCAUUUAACUUGAUUAAAUGUCAUGAUAUUGUUUGCCAUUAUGUUUAUGCUUGUUGUGAGCUUGCAAGUACAUUCAAUGUACUGACCUAGCAUGUUAUGCCAGAUUUCAGGAAAGUUUAACUGGAUCGGAGUGCUGCCGUGUCUAGACCGUCUCCACAUUGGUGUCCCUGUGCGGUGGAGUCCCACUACAUCGUUGUUCCGCUGCCAUGUAGUUGUCGUGAUUGAGGCCCCUUUAUGUUCACUAAAUAAUGUACAUUUGUUCAGCCACACCGAGUGUGCCGCUUGGCCUCGAGACUUGAUGUAACAUCGCACUAUGCUUCCUCUAGUUUCAAUAAAGCGGUUAUUUUCUGUACCAAGAUGUUGUGUAUUGCCAGAAGACAUGAUCUCUGGGUUGGCAAUGCAAGGUAAACCGGUUGCUCUGAGCCGGGGUGCCACAACGCUUGGUAUUAGAGCCGCGCUGACUGUAGGAUACGCUAGACCCUGACACGUUAAGUUGGACGAUAGUAAGUUUGCGAAUUGAGUGCCAGUAGUGUUUGCAUGAAAAUGAUGCAUUGCAUACAUUAGACUUAUUGUUAUUUCUAACUGUUUAAUGGUUGUGAGUGUAGAUGGCUCCGGUGCCGUAUUCGUGUCAGUUGGAGAUGAUGCCAUACACUUCACCGCAUCUCCUUCAUAACAUGUGGCGUCGACUGUACCCUUACGGUGACGACCCAGCAUAUCAGGUGUACCGGGAGCGUCUAGCCGACUCCAUGUAUGAGUAUCACGCCGUGGUUACCCUGUGCACCAGUUCAUCAGUAGGAUCUUACACUCGUACCUCUCAGAGCGGUUAUGCAUCCACCGCCGCUCAAGCCGUCCAGUAUGCUGCAUUCGAGAUUCUUGUUGAGCUACGCUAUAUGGAGGCUCGGAUGCCGAACCACCCAGGUUUUUCGCUUCUACCCAUCUUUGCACGAUGAUGGUCGCGUUUGCUUUCCUUCCAUUGAUCCGGUGUAUGAUAGUGACACUAGCCACCUUUCUUGAUAUAUCACUGCUAGUUAUCUUCUGAUUCAUGAGUUGGCUCGAGAGCUGAAUCGUGCUCAUUCUGCUUUGGUAGCCGCUAUAUCCUACCCUACUCCCCCUUCUAUGUGAUUUACUCCUUAUAUUGUGCCCAGUUCUAGCUCGCCUAUUUCCCCGGUUACUCCCCCGAGUAGCUCGGGCACCUCGACUGUGAACCCACACAAUGCUUCUGCUGAGUGGGCGUCUCUUCUUGCUACCCUCGUAGCACCCAUGAUCCCUUCUCAUCCCGCGCGCACCCCUGAGGGAGAGCUCUCGAGGCAGGGCCGUCGUGUUACCUUUAACCCAGAGGUCUCGAUUAACACGUCAGUUCAGAAUCUGGGUCUGACUCAGGAGAGGAUCCGGCAGCACCGGCAACGUCCUAGAGCGUCUGAGUAUCCGUAGUGGCCAUGUGAUGUACGAAUGUAGUUGUAUGAGCCAUGAUGUAUCGUUGCAUGUAUGCGAGUAGUCACACCAGUCAUGAUAUCUAUCUUUCAUGUAUGAGUCUAUGUAUAAUUAUGUUGGAGCUUUUUAUUCGAUCGCCGUGUUUCUCGAUUCAUUCGUUUUGCUCUUUCGGGUUUGUCACUGGCUUUUCUUCCCAUGUUUGGAUGUUGCUCAUCACGGUUGCUCUUAUUGGAAAAAAUAAACAGUAGGAUGACGCGGGGAGGCAACAACACACAGACUUGUGAGGAUGUCCCUGUUUGUUGCUCAGCAAGACAGGCAGGACACUCCCCCGAGCCAUAUCCGCAACCACCACCUCCACCAUCAAAUCCACCCUCCAUUGAACAAAUUAUGCGCAUGUUUGAAUAAAGAAGGAACAAUGAUCUGAUUGAGCUGUUAAAAAGUGUGCAAGCUAUGGUUGGGUAGAAUGGGAAUCAAAAUGGCCAUCACUCCAAGCUGUCAGAUUUUCAAAGGACUAAGCCUCCCAGUUUCAGUCAAGUGGUUGAACCUUUGGAAGCACAUGAUUGGUUACGAACUAUUGAGAAGAAGCUUGAAAUUACUCGCACUAACAAAGUUGACAAGGUUCUGUUCGCUACCCACUAUCUUGAAGGAGCCGUUGCUAUAUGGUGGGAUAAUGCUAAAGCUCUAUGGCCUGCGGGAGAAGAAAUCACGUGGACUAAUUUCAAGGACCAAUUCCUCAAGUACCAUAUUCCAGCUGGUAUCAUGAAGGUCAAGCAACACGAAUUCCUUGGUCUCACUCAAGGGAGUCUGUCAGUAGGUGAAUAUUUGCACAAGUUCAACCAUCUGGCCCAUUAUUCCGUCUAUGAUGUGGCCACGGAAGAAAGAAAGAUCGACAGGUUCCUUGGAGGAUUAAACCAACACCUCAGGAGUGCUCUCUGCAUGCUCGACUUUCCAGAUUUUCAGUCUCUGGUAAACAAGGCCCUCAUCGUAGAACGAGAGUACAAGCCUGUGCAAGACAACCAACCCGCAAAUAAUGACCACAAGCGUAAAUUCAAGUCGAAGAAGGACACACAACCCAUGCAGAAGGCCCGUACCUGGCAACAGACUCAAGUGGAGUACAAGCCAAAUUGGCAGCAAAAUGUGAAUAAGACCAUGACUCAAGUCAAGAAUGUCGUGACUAGUCCAGUGCACGAGGAUUGUCGGUGCAACAACUCCUGCUUUAGUUGUGGACAGACCGGACAAUUAUGCCAGACAGUGUCCCAAGAAAUCAAAUGCCCCAUUCCGGCCGCAAGUCAACCACAUGGGGCCAUAUCAUACCCAGAAGAUCGUCCAAGGGAAAGUUCAUCACCUCUUCGCAAACGAAGCCCACGAAAACCCAGAAGUCGUCAUUGGUAUGUUUCCUAUUAAUAAUAUAUCCGCAAUAAUUUUAUUUGACUCUGGGGCUUCCCACUCUUUCAUUUCUCAGAGUUUUGUUGCCCGAAACAAAUUUCAUUGCUCGCUUUUGGGAAAAAGUAUGAUGGUUCAAUCCCCGGGAUCCAUGCUCGAAAGCAAUUUGGUCUACCGAAAUUUGGAAAUUGAUAUCAAGGGAGUCCGUUUUCCAACUACUUUGCAUCGAGUCUGCCAAGUUGGAUGUUAUUUUGGGAAUGAACUGGUUGACCCAAUAUCAAGUAUGCAUAAAUGUGCGACCCGAGAAGCCACCUUGAUAAAUCAGGAAGGGUGAUCCAUAAAAUUCUAUGCCCGCAAAAGCAUACCCAAAGGAGAUCUGGUCUUCACAUCAGUAGCUGAAAAAUUGGAUCUGAUUCCUGUGGUCAGUGAAUUUCCUGAUGUAUUCCCCGAGGAAUUACCCGAAAUGCCUCCAGGCAGAGAGCUUGAGUUUGCAAUUGAUCUUGUUCCUGGCACUGCACCAUUGUACUAAAAGUAUUAUCGAAUGCCUCAAUUCGAACUCGUGGAAUUAAAGAAAUAGUUGGAUGAGAUGCCAUAGAAAGGUUAUAUCCGCCCAAGCUCGUCACCAUGGGGAUCACCCGCAAUAUUUGUAGACAAGAAAGACGACAGUCUCAGAAUGUGCGUGGACUAGUGAUAACCCACAAGUGUAGGGGAUAAUUGUAGCCUCUUUCGAUAAGUAAGAGUGUCAAACCCAACGAGGAGCUAAAGGUAGAACAAAUAUCCUCUCAAGUCCUAUCUGCCACUGAUACGACUCUACGCACACUUAGUGUUUGCUUUACCUAGAACAAGUAUGAAACUAGAAGUACUUUGUAGGUGUUGUUGGAUAGGUUUGCAAGAUAAUAAAGAGUACGUAAUUAAAAAGUAGGGGCUGUUUAGAUGAAAAAGCAAUAAAUAAAUAUAGCGAGUGUGGAAAAGUGGUGGUAGGAGUUUUGAAAUGUCCCUAAGCAAUUGACUACUUUACUAGACCGAUAGCAAGUUUUAUGUGGGAGAGGCCACUGCUAGCAUGUCAUCCCUGACUUGGAAUUCUACGCACUUAUGAUUGGAACUAUUAGCAAGCAUCCGCAACUACUAAGGUUCAUUAAGGUAAAAUCCAACCAUAGCAUUAAGAUAUAUUGGUCCCCCUUCAAUCCCGUAUGCAUCAAUUUCUAUGCUAGGUUGAAGCUUAUCCCACUCUUGCCCUCCAAUACAUAGUCCUAUCAACAUACAACUAACCCUAUGGUGUGAUCCAUGCGCACGCUCAUAUGACGGUGUCGGUGGGAAAUGACACCUAUGGGAUCACAAGAAUGCCUACUAUGGUUGCGGGGCGCGGGAUCAUGAGAAGAGAGGGACUAGUGCACAGCACAAAGGGGAUUUACCUAGGUUCGGGCCGCAAAGAUGCGUAAAACCCUACGAUCCUGCUUUGGUGGAUGUAUUUAGUGUUCUUGAGCUCUUGAACUAGCUCUGGGUGUGGCCAGGUUCCAAAGAACCGAAUCCCUCUCCGGUGCGCCAUGGGCCUCCUUUUAUAGGUGAAAGGGGUUGCCACAGUGGCACACAGGAGGUGGAAACUGCUAUAGCGUUGUGAGCUUAUUGCUGGUAUUACAGGACAAAGCGCAUUUAAUGCGAGGCUUAGGUGUCCCUUCACUUUAUCGAGGACGGGAGUGAGGCCUGUCCCGUCUGUCGCCGCUCCUCCUUGCUUCGACACGCGCCCUGGCUAGCGGUGCAUGCGGUGCCAUGUAGGCAGGCAGGCAGUUGAGGUGGC
rnacentral:lncRNA from 1 species